UUAUAAAACGUCAAUGAACCGAACAUAAAUAGUUCAUUAAAAACAUAACCAAACCAAAUCACGAAACUGAACUGAAUCAUAUUUUAUGGUUUGGUAGACGGUAGCCGAUUUGAUAAUCUCCAAGUUUUGAAAUGGAUUAGUGUUUGACGAGUAUAUUCUUGAUAUACACCAUAAAAAAGAAAGCAUGUAUUGGGUCAAUCUAUUCAUGUUAUUUUAAUAUGUAAUGAUUUACAAAAAAACAUGGUCGAAAGAAAAACAUCUUUAUCUUUGUAACUAUCACUUUAUUACAAAUAAUUUUCCAAACAUGAGCAUUAUAUGUAUAUAAGAUCACAAAUAGAGAAAGAAGCAAAGCACUUUCUAGGUCUAUUCGACCCUUUAUUACUUUGGCAUCUCUUUUUCCCAUCUUUCUCUCUCUCCCUCUCUCCACAACAGUAACUCAACAAUCAAAACCAUCAGAUUCAAAGGAAAUUUACCUGUCUAUCAACAAAAACCUCAUUGAUCAGUCAAUCCCAUCAAUCAAAUCAAAUCAAGAAAGGGAAUCAACAAAAAGAGAAAACAACAUGUCUGCCUCAUCCACUUCCUUUUCACCGGACCAACAACAACAACAACAGCAACUCUCUCCCUCCGACCAACUCUGUUAUGUUCAUUGCAACUUCUGUGACACUGUCCUCGCUGUAUCAUCACUACAACCUCUUAUUAUUUAUCUUAUCAUCAUGUCCUUCACUCUCUAUUAUUGUUACUAUAACCUUUAACCCUCUUAAGUUUUUUUCUUUAAUUUCCAUUUAGGUGAGUGUUCCUUGCACCAGUUUGUUCAAGACUGUGACUGUGAGAUGUGGCCAUUGCACUAACCUUCUUUCUGUGAACAUGCGUGGACUGCUUCUUCCUCCUACUAAUCAGCUUCAUGUUGGUCACAACUUCUUCACUCCUCAAAAUCUUAUGGUACAUAUAUAUAUGCACCGAAAUGUUUCAUGGAGAACUUUGAGACAAUUUAUAAAUAUUGGUACUUUGGGUUAUAGAAUUCAAAGUUGUUGUAACAAGCUAGGGCCUAGGGUUUUUAAUUUUUAUUCACCUAAGAAAAGUUAGGGCCUAGGGCUAUAUAGUUUUGAUUGUUAGUAUUGUUAUGAUUCAGGAGGAGAUUCGAAAUGCACCUUCAACAAAUAUGAUGAUGAAUCAGAUGCCUAACCAAAAUGAUUUGGUCAUGAACACCAUGCGAGGAGGACCAGAAGAAAUUCCUAAGCCUCCACCACCUAACAGACGUGAGCAUUUUCCUCUUAUUCCUUAACUUCUUAUCUUCACUUGUUCAUUAAACUUAAAUUGUUUUCUUGAUGAAUUUUUGUUUUUCUUACAAGUAACAAUGAUCUCAAAAUCUUCACAUGUUCUCCAUGUUUGUUUUCUUUUUUUUUCUUUACUUUCCUUUUUCUACUUGUGGACCAGAGAUUCUUCCGAUACCACAAAAAAAAAGCUAGAAAAAGAAAAAGAAUCUCAAUUCACUCAAAAAAAGAAUAGGGAACUCUUCUGAAAUCCUUGCAGCCCAUUUGGCACAAGUUUUAAGCUAAUAGUGGUACCACUUAAGCAAUAAAGGAAGAAAAUUGGUGAAAAAAAGCUGUAUUCAUAUCAAAACUCACUUGUCAUGUUGAACAGUGGCUAAGAUUUCUUGGUUUACUGCAAGUGGCAAACAAAGAACAAUCUUUUGCACAUUUAUCUCAUGCAUUGCUUUUUCUCUGUCUUUCCUGUGCUAAUGUUUAUAACUUCAAUAAAGCCACCUUUAGUUCUUCAAAUAUAUUGCUACAACAAUUACACUUUCAAAACUUUUAGGUUGAAGCAACCCAUUUCCAUGCUUUAUGGUUUUCCCACUUUCCACAACCAAGUUUCAAGAGGAUGAAAAUGAAAUUCAUAAUUUGUUUUUUUCUUCUCUUUGCCUCUCCAUCUAUGUCUCCUUACAUGCAUACAAUGAGGGUUACAUAAUUUGUCCCCCGAAAAUAUAGUGCUGAAUCCAUUGCGAGAGUGAUUGUUAGAGAUAAUGAUGAGCCAAUGAUAGAAAAUAGAGAGAGAAUGUAUGUGUGUAAGAAUGGAAAAAAAUCUUCUCUUGAAUCGAAGAUGUAAGUUGUUAUUUGUACACUUACAUUGAAGGAUAAAAGUGUCACACUAUUAUAUCUGAAGAAUAAAAAGAUCAUAUCCUUCUGUUUUUUCAUGUUAUUUAUGAUGCACAUGCCUAUCUAAUACUAGAGAAGAUCUUAACUCGUAAAAUCGGUAAAAGGUCAGCAAAGUGAUUUAAUGUUCCUGUCUUUUGCCUGUGUAAUGUCCAUGUGUUACAUGUCCAGCUCCAGAGAAGAGACAGAGAGUUCCAUCAGCUUACAACCGCUUCAUCAAGUAAGUUUAAUAACUUUAAUUUCAACUUGUUUAUUUUGAAUACUAAGUAGUAAGUAGUGAGUUUUACGAACACUUUCCAAAUGCACAUUUAAUAGAUAAUUUUGCAUCUCAGAAUCCAUUUGGGUCAAAGUUCUGAAUCACCUAAUAAAUUCUCAACUCAAACCUUAUCAUUUCUAUUUGUAUAUUUAAAUUUUUACUUAUAUAUUAUUUGAUUCCACAUUUUUAUUUUGAUAGCAUUUGGAUGACAUUGACAUCAUUGAAAUUCCAGGGAUGAGAUCCAACGUAUAAAAGCUGGAAAUCCUGAUAUAAGCCACAGAGAGGCCUUUAGUGCAGCUGCAAAGAAUGUGAGAUCCAAGGAUAUUCUAAAUCUUACUCUCUUAAGGAAUUUUUCCCAUUUUUAGAUUAUUUUCAAUUUUUACUAAUUAAAGAAUUUUCUUUUUGUUUAGAGAAAAAGAUUAUGCACAACAGUAUAAAAAUAUAUUUUACAUUGUCGCUGCAUCAUCCACCACUAAUUUAUAAUUAUCAUUGACUUUUAAAUAAAAUUAAUACAAGGUAAAUAAUAUAUUAACUAUAUAAAUUUUUACAAUGUCAUUACAAAAAUAUUACUGAUCUCUUUUGUUUAAUCAAUCAUAUGUCUAAACUCCUUGUGUUGCCCUGUUUGUUUUGUUCAUUAAGGAAUAAAAAUUAGUUAUCCAAAUCUCUCUAAUUAUGUCACAUCCAAUAACAUAUUGCUACAGAGAAAUCUUUGCAAUGUGUAUUGUUUUACUCGCUUAAGGUUGUUAAAUGUAAACUUAAAUUUUAAAUAAUAUGUCAUAAUAUUAUAGGGCGAGACAUAUACUAAUUAACUUACACAAUUGAUUUUCAUUGAUAAUUAAGACUUUUUAUUUUUGAGUUAGACUCUUGGUCAUUAUUGGAGAGAACAAUUAUAUUUUUUAGUGUAUUUUAAGAGUAAAAUUAUAAUAUCAAUAUAAGUUAAAAGGAUAAAAAUGUUAUUGUUUUUUUUUAUAUUUCUAUGUAUUUCACUUAACUGUCCUCUUAAGUAAUGAAAAGAGUAUGACUCUUUAUUUCUCAUUUGUGGGGUCCAUAAUUUAUUUUUCAGUGGGCUCAUUUCCCACACAUUCAUUUCGGACUUAUGCCUGAUCAUCAACCCGUGAAGAAAGCUAAUAUUCGCCAGGUAAAUGAAAACCCUAGCUUCUGUUACCUCCUUUUACUUUUGGCAGCACAUUAAUGAAAAAAGUGACUCUUAUUUCUAUGGUUUCUAAUCUCAAUUUUGUGCGUGUAGGAAGCAGAAGACGUGCUUAUGAAAGAUGGGUUUUUCUCACCAGCAAAUGUAGGUGUUACCCCCUACUAAAAUAGUUUAUGGUUUAGGGCUUCGAGUGUCACUCUUAUCUAAGUAACUAUUGUACUAUGAUUUUGUCUUAUGCAUAUUAAUGUUGUGCACUUGUGAUAGUACUUGUUAGUGUUAAAAGUUGUUAGACUAUAUUACCCGUAAUGAAUGACUUUGCAAUGUAGAAAUAAAGGUCUUAGAAGCUAUUUUUUUGAUUGGUUUUCUACCUCACCUGAGAAAAAGUUGUUCUAGAAUACUAUUUUCAACCCUUCACAAAAAUAAAAUUCAUAAUUACUAAAAAACUAAAAAUAAAUGCGUUUUGUGUUUGUAAGGAUUUAUUGCUUCUAAAACACGGUUAGUUUUUUUUAAUCCUUAUAAUUAACAUUUUCAAACCUAUUAGUUAAAUAUUAAUCUGACAUGACUUUAGUAAUAGUUUAUGUGAAGAAAAAAUGAUAGAAAAUUUAGGUUUGAGUUGUGCCUUGCAACCCCCGUUGUAAUGGUCUAUAUUUUUGUACAAGAUCAUGGUGGGAUCGUGAUUUAUCUAUGGUUCAUGCUAAAAUUUAUUUUCGCCUAAGGUAGAAUCUCCAAAGAAACUUCCAAACUUUCCUUUUGUUGAUGUACAAGACUCAUAUAAUACAAUUUAAUUUACACUCUAAGUUGUAUAUGAAUUCGAGUAACCUUAUAUUAUUCAUAAUAGUUUUUCAUUGGUAAUAAAAGAAGAACGAAGAACAAAGGAUGGAUUAAAGAGGAAGGGAGCAUUUGUUAGGGAAUUAACAUUUCUGAAAGACCUAGGUUCCACCCACAAUACUUGCCUUUUCAUUUGUAGGUGAAAAGGAAGAAGAAUGUUGGGUUAUUUGGCAUGCAACCUGUUUUUUUUAUCAAUAAUAUGUUAAUAUUUAUUAUGAGUGAAACUCGAAUAUUCAAUUUUUUUAAUUGGGUUAUAAGAUUUGCUGAAAUUAGGUCUUGUAAUUGGAUUAUGGCUUGUUUGACAGUAUGAUAGGAAAAGACUUGAUUUGAUAAGACCUUAUAGGUAAAGACAAUAAGUUAAGACCUAAUAGGAUAAGGUCCGACAAAAUUUUAAUAAUAUAUGUAAUGUUAGAUGUAGUAUUGUUUAUGAUAUUGUAUAAAUAAUCGUGUAAUAUAGAACACUAGAUAGGUUAACAGCUAACGAUUUACAAUAAUAACCUUCUUCCUAAAGAUAUUAACAUCUCAUUCAAAUUUUGGAUGAACUAAUAAGUUUUCUCAUAAUUUUCAACAUUAGAUAAGCCAAGGCUUUAAACACAUCAAGAGAGGAGUGAAUAAGUAUGAUGCUAUUAUGCUGUUUCAUUUCACACAUAACUAUUUUUUCUCAGUUAAUAGAUUAUAAACAAUUAUUUUCAAUUUAAUUGGUUGAUAAUCAAUUACAUAGAGUGUUUAAUUGAUUAUGCUUCUGAUAAUUGAUUGAAAAUUGGUUAUUGACCAAUUAUCAACCCAAAAAUGAAAAUCAAUGGAGUUGAGUGAAAUAAAUAAACCAAGAUCUUUACCAAGAUGAGGCCUUUAAUCAAAAUAGUGACAAAUAACGAAAUACUAGAAAAUAAUAAGCACAAACACAAUAAAUCAAAACUUUAAAGAAUAUAGGGUUAUAAAGAAAUAAUAAGCAAAAUUUAUAAUCAUUCACAUCAAUCCACCGACGCUAAAUCCAGUCCCCAUUUCUGGUUUGAGGAUUUUCACCCACUAUGAAAAGAGACAAUGUUUAUUUACAAGCACAAGUUCAAAUUCAAAUUCAAUCCUAAUCCAUCUUAUUAGACCUCUACAACAUAUCAACUUACACUAGUUUAUAUGCAUAUAUAAAAUUUCAUAAAAAUACUAAUGCUAAAAUCUAGAACUUCAUGUUUUUUCAUAAAGAUAAGUAAGAGGAAGUGUACCGUUCUAAUAGAUGUGAUUUGAGGAGGAAGUCUUAUUUGUAGAUGAGUAUUGUCUACAUGUGUUGUUGAUAUCUUCAUAUCCAUAGAAUGUUGGUUUCUCCCUCUUGACCCAUUUCAUAAUAGUACAUUAGUGAUGAAUAUAAUGUACUUCUUGGUAGGAUAGAGUGAGGACCACAUUCUUAAUUUAUAGGGCAUGAUAGGUGCAUUCAUCAUACACCUUCCUUCAUGAAAUUGGCUUUCCAAAUUGUGAAGAAGAUCUUGCUCCUGACCUUGACAUAGUUUUGACGAAGACACCAACAUCACAUAAAGAAGAAAAUGAAGAAUACUUAUGAAAAAAAUAAGGAUAAAGCUUCAAGGAAUUUAGAGUCUAAGUCUAUAGGUACUUCUAUCCUUAUACUCUAUAAUAUACAAUUGUAGUAAUACUCAAAAAUAUUUUAAAAUAAAAUUUAAAAUUACAAGUAUAAAUGAAAACAAUUUUUAAAAUAUUGUGUAACAGGUUACUGGAUCUAAGUAACAGGUUACUAGAACUAAGUAACAAGUUACAUCAAUGAGUACGAGUUACCCAACAAAAACUGAACAGGAUAAUCAAUUACUCCUUUUGAGUAACCGAUUACACGAUUAAUAUAUAUGAGAGUAACUGAUUACAUAGUGUGGUAAUCGAUUACUCAGUUGGACAAAAUGUUUAGGUAAUCGAUUACGUCGAUGUUGUAAUCGAUUACUGAGAGAUGUUAGACAAUAUUUUCAGAUUCAAACUGAACAGCUUUCACCCCAAACAUAAUGGUUUCAUUCCAAUCGACUCCUACCUUUUCAUAGAGGUGUUAUGGCUGAUUGGAAAAUCUAUUUAAAGGAAUUGAAACUCAUAAUUUCAAACACACAACUCACAUACACAAUCUGAAUUUUCUAAAAUACUUUUUCUGCACCUUCUACAACUUAUUCUUCACUUUCAAAUUAAAUUUUUUGAAGUUGCUUUAAGUGUGGUUUCAAAGAUUUUUCAAACCUUCUGAGCAUUAUAACUAAGUUUAUAAAGAGUUACCGAAUUGCAAGAGAUCAUAGUGUUCAAAUCUUGUAAAUGCAAUCCUUGCUAUUGUUAACGUUUUCUUCAUUCAAUUUGCUGAAAUACAUUCUAUCACAAGGGUGUGAUAAGAAACGGGAUAGAGUCACUUGGAAAGGUUAUUUUCCAAAGAGUGACAUAGGUAUUAGAGAGUGAGUAAGGUACAAGGAUAUCUCAGGGUGAGAAUUUAUAAUUAUUACUCUUAAUAUCUAGUGAAGAAAUCUCUUGUGAUGCAAGAGUACUGGAUGUAACCUUCGAUGGAAAAGAAGGUGAACCAGUAUAAAACUCUCUAAGUACUCUCUUCUCCCUUAUCUCCUUAAAUUAACUUGAUAUUUUUCUGCAUAAGUUUUCCGCUGCUACUAACAAUAAAAUUUGCAAAAAAAUCUAUCAUAGAUUUAAGACAACUAAUUCACCCCCAAGUUACCAUCUCAGUCUUAUAAUUGGCACCAGAGCUUAUUCUGAGUAAAUUAUUCUCAAAUCAGAUCCUGUAUCUAAGAUGGACUCAAGAUCAUUUAGGGAGAAGGUUCCAACAUCAAUCACCCUCCAAAUUUUGUUGGUGAAUUCUAUGACUUCUGAAAAAUUAGGAUGAUAAUCUUUAUAGAAUCUCAAGGUCUGGAUAUUUGGAAUGCGAUUGAGGAAAGACCUUAUUAACCUUUCACUGUUGUUAAUGGUGUAAGGGAAGUAAAGCCAAAAUCCUCAUGGAAUGAUGAGGACAAAAAGACAAUGCAAUACAAUCUCAAAGCAAAGAACAUCCACACUUCAGCAAUUGGUAUUGAUGAAUUCUUUAGAGUAUUAAACUGCAAAUCCGCUAAAGAAAUGUGAGAUGCUCUAGAGACUACACACGAAUGAACUGAGGAAGUGAAAAAGGUCGAUACUCAAUACUCUCUCCUAGGAAUACGAAAUGUUCCAUAUGAAGUCUGAAGAGAAAAUACUAGAUCUCCAAAAGAGAUUUACUCACCUUACAAGUCAUCUUAUUGAACUUGGAAAAAUAUUAUCAAAUAGUGACUUGAACUUAAAAGUUUUGAGAUCACUCACCAGAACAUGACAACCAAAAGUAACAGCCAUUUAUGAAAAGAAAAGCUUAUAAAAAAUGUCAUUGACUACUUUAUUUGGUAAAUUACAGGAACGCGAAUUGGAAAUCAGCCAACUUGACCAACAUGAAGAGCAAGAAAAGAAGAAGAAAAAUAUCUCUCUCAAAGAAAAGGCAGAUAGAUAUGAUUCAUCAGGAGAUGAAUCAGAAAAGGAAGAGAUGGAAGACAUAAGUCUUUUGCUAAAGAAGUUCAGCAAGUUCCUUAAAAGGAAUAAAUGCGCUAAAAUUGGACAAAUGAAGAAAUUCACCAAGAAUAAUGACGCCCCCACUUCAAAUUGAAACUUCACAUGUUUUGAAUAUGGUAAGCCUGGUCACAUGAAGAUGGAAUGUCCAAAUCUGAAAAAGAAUUCCUUCAAAGGGAGAAAUGAAAUGAGGACUAGACGAAGAGCCUACAUAGCUUGGGAAGGCAAUGAUACUAGUUCUGCCUCAGAACCAGAAAAUGAAGAACAAACUCAUCUCUCACUAAUGGCAUCUCAUCACUAUGAUGAUGAAGAUGUAAAUGAAACUGAACUAUUUUCUUUUUCUGAAUUACAACUUGCAUUUACCGACUUACAUGAUGAAUAUGUCAAACUCACUAAAUUGUUAUUAAAACAAAAAACUAAGUUAGAAAUAUUCAAAAAUAAACCAUCAUCUUCUUCAUGUCAAAACUGCAUUACUCUUGAAAAGGAAGUUUCAACAUUAAGUCUUGAACUUAAUAAAUUAAAUAAGAGUAGCAAAAAUCUGGACACAAUGAUUAAAGAUGAGAGACAUUCUACAUACUGAAGAGGUCUUGGCUAUUCUAACAGCCAAGUUUCUAAGAAAACAAAUGUCUCAAUGAAAAUAAACUUUCAUAAACAAAGUAUCCAUGCAUUUAAUUGUAGUAAUAUUAAAACUAGAAUACAUAAGCAUAAUCCCAUAUGCAAUUAUUGUAAGAACCAUGGACAUAUACCAAAUACUUGCAUGAUUAGAAAAUAUGGUGUACCCUUAGGUCACUAUAGAUGGAUUGAGAAAUGUGCUAACCAUGUAGGACCCAAGGAAAAUUGGGUACCUAAUACUACUUAACCUGUUUUGAAGGAUAAUUUGAGAGUCGUCUAUAAUCUAUGGUACUUGGUACUCAAACUAAUGUUGGAUUAUGGUAUCCAAAAGGAAGUAUAUAUGAUUUGAUAGGAUAUUCAUAUUUAGAUUUUGAUGGAUGCAAAAUUGAGAGAAAAAGUACAAGUGGUACUUGUCAUAUAUUAAGAAAUAUAGUGGUCUCAUGGUCAUGCAAGAAACAAGCCUGUGUUGUCAUAAGUACUACUGAAGUAGAAUACAUAGCGGCAGGUAGUUGUUGUGCCCAAGUGUUGUGGCUUAAACAACAAUUACAAGAUCACGACUUAGACUUAGGCUACAUUCCCCUAAAAAAUGUGACAAUACUAGUGCUAUAAAUCUCACAAAGAAUCUAGUAAUGCAUUCUAGAACCAAACACAUAGAUAUAAGACAUCACUUCCUUAGGGACCAUGUCCAAAAGAAAUACGUGACUUUAGAAUUUGUUGAUAUUCAUGACCAACUAUCAUAUAUAUUUACUAAACCUUUGGCAAAAGAACAUUUCUAUAAAAUUAGACAAGAAUUAGACAUACUUGAUGAAACUUACUUGUCUUAAAUGCUUAUAUACGAUUAUAUGUUUGCUUCAUUGUGUUUAUCUUAUGCCUACUUGUACUUAAAAUUGCUUAGUUUUGUUUAAAAUUUCAAUUUUUGGGGUAUGUAAUCGAUUACCUAGGGUCAAUAAUUGAUUACCAGGCAUCAGUAUGCCUGAAUAUUCAAAAUUUUGGGUCAGUAACCGAUUACUCUAGAGAGUAAGGAUUACUGCAUAUGGCAUAAACUUUUAGUAACCGGUUAAUCUGGAGAGUAACUGAUUCCUGAAUAUGGCAGAAACCUUUAGUAAUCGAUUACCCAUCUGUGUAAUCGAUUACCUAAACUUGUUGUUUGAAUUCUGGGAAUUUUUAUGCUGAGUGACCGAUUACUCACCUUGAGUAACCGAUUACUCAAACCAGUAUUUAAGUGUUUAUCUUCUUCCUCAAACCCCUAUUUCAUGUCUAUCCUAUUUUUCCUAUGCUCCGAUUUGAGUGAUUUUUGAGUCAUUUCAUAUGACAUUUUCAAUUCUAAAUACGUCUAUUCCAUAAAUUUCGUGUUUAGUGGCCAAAAUAAAAAAUCCCCAAAUCUCUCAAACACUCAAAACCUAAUUUUUUUUUUAAACUUUAAUCCAUGGCUUCAUCAUCAAAAGCUAAGAAGCAAUGUACCAGUAUGUCUCUAAAGAAGAAAGACAGUUCAUCUUCUGAGGCUAAUCUUCUGGAUUUGGUACGACUUCUCGUCAAUGAUGAACAACGCAAAGUCUUCUCGGAGCAUUUUCUUAGAUGACCAAUCUUUACUCCUAAGUAUGGCAAGAUAAGUAACUUUGAGUUUGAUGAUUUCCAUUUCCCUAUUCAACUUAGGCAACAAAAUCUUUUUGAUUUCUGUGAGGAAUCAAAUGUCUAUUACCCCGAACUUGUUAGAGUAUUUUACUGCAAUUUGAACUUGAUGAAACAUUUUUUAACAUACUCAGUGAAAGGAAAAUAAAUUAUUUUAGAUGUAAAGACUUUCAGUUCCAUAUGUUGUAAUAUACCCUAUCAAGGUAGCAUAAAAGAUUUCGGUCUUGUAUGUGAAUGGGAUAAUUAUGAUAGAAAAGAGUUCUACUACUCCUUGUUUAGAUUCUCUAAACGGGAAAUCGAAAUGCAUAACCAACAGGCUUUAAGUAAAACUGUAAAUAGUAGAGAUAUAUUUGCUAUAGGAAAUCUCAAUCUCGAAGAUCGUUUGCUUCACUACUUUCUUAGCUACGUCAUAGUUCCAAAAUUAUCAAAUCAUUCUCAAAUUAAUGAUUGUUUGCUUCACUACAAUUGAUGUAUGCUCUUAAGUAUAACCUUCAAAUCAAUUGGGCUUUGACAGUAAUGAGACAAAUGUGGUAUGUGCGAGAAACUCACAGCCCCUUGCCUUAUGCAAUCUUCAUCACAAACAUACAUGACCAUUUUGGUGUAUCCACUGUUGGUGAGUUCAAAAUCACACUCGAUGCACGCGAUAGUAAGAUCGAUGUUGUUGUGAUCCAAAAAAUGGGUUUCUUUCAAGACUAAAUUGAUGGGAUUUAUAAGCAUCAAAGUGAUAGUCAGGUUGCACGUGCUGAUCCAAUUGCAAAUGUCUCUAUUAACCCUCCAUUACCUCAACCUUCCGAAUUUCAUGCUGAGUCAUCUUCAUCUUUUGCCAUGCCUACCAAUUAGAUGACCAUGGACGAAUUAUUCUCUCUUCGAGGCUACAUCUCUAAUCGGAUGGAUGCUCUUGAUGAUCAGAAUCAGCAAGUCCAAGUUGAACUUCAACGUCUAUCUUAUAAGAUCUACAUCAUGGAUCUUGAUGACGAUAGUACUGAGCCUGAGUCUUAGAAUAAUUGAUGUCUAGGUUUCUCUUUGUAAUGUUGCGUGAUUGUUAACAUUUUUUUAUAUGUUUUCUGGUUGUUUGAACAAUGUAUGAAUACAAUUUUAGUUUUAUUCUAUGCUAUGUUAAAUUUUUGUUUGCUAUAUACAUAUCGUGUGUGCUGGACUCUGGAUUUUCUUCUAAGUCAAAAGGGGGAGAAAAGUUGGGAGAGUGUAUUUUUUGUUUGAAAUUCUUUCAGGUACAUAACUCCAAAUUAAAGGGGGAGUAUGCAAAAUAGGGGGAGCAUACUCAAGUCAUGUCAAAAUAUCACAAAAUAUGCACUCUUAGAAAACUAAACUAUCAAGAAGAUAAUGGUUUAUCAUCAUCAAAAAGGGGGAGAUUGUGAAGAAGAUUUUGCUCCUGAACUUGGCACGAUUUUGAUGAAGACACCAAUAUCACACAAAGAAGAAAAUGAAGAAUACUUAUGAAGACAAAGAAGAUAAAGCUUCAAGGAAUUUAGAGUCUAAGUCUAUAGGUUCUUCUAUCUUUAUACUUGAUAAUAUACAAUUAGUAGUAACGCUCAAAAAUAUUUUUAAAAGAAAAUUGAAAACUACAAGUAUAAAUGAAAAUAAUUUUCAAAAUACUGUGUAACAGGUUACUGGAUCUAAGUAACAAGUUAUUGGGACUAAGUAACAGGUUAUUGUGACUAAGUAACAGGUUACCAAAACUAAGUAACAUGUUACAUGAGUGAGAAAUGAGCUACCCAACAAAACCUGAACAUGGUAAUGAUUACUCCCUUUGAGUAACCGAUUACACAGUAUGGUAAUCGAUUACUCAGUUGGACAGAAUGUUUGGGUAAUCGAUUACGUCGAUGCUGUAAUCGAUUACUAAGAGUUGUUACACUAGAUUUUCAUAUUCAAACUGAACAGCUUUCACCCCAAAUGUAUUGGUUUCAUUCCAAUCGGAUCCAACCUUUUCAUAGAGGUUUCAUGACUGAUUAGAAAGCCUAUUUAAAGGCAUUACAACUCAUAAUUCAAACACACAGCUCACAUACACAAUCUGAAUUUUUCUGAAACACUUUUUUUGCACUUUCUGCAAAUUGUUCUUAAUUUUCAGAUUAAAUUUUCCGAAGUUGCUUUAAGUGUGGUUUCAAAGAUUUUUCAAACCUUCUGAGCAUUAUAACUAAAUGUUAAAGAGUUACCGUAUUGCAAGAGAUCAUUGUGUUCAAAUCUUGUAAAGGCAAUCCUUGCCAUUGUUAAAGUUUUCUUCAUUCAAUUUUUUGAAAUAAUUUAUAUCACAAGGGUGUGAUAAGAAAGGGAAUAGAGUCACUUAGAAAAGUUGUUUUCCAAAGAGUGACAUAGGUAUUAGAGAGUGAGCAAGAUACAAGGAAGUCUCGGGUUGAGAAUUUGUAAUUAUUACUCUUAAUAUUUAGUGAAGAAAUCUCUUGUGAUGUAAGAGUACUAGAUGUUACCUUCGGUGGGCAAGAAGGUGAACCAAUAUAAAACUCUUUGAUUACUCUCUUCUCCCUUAUCUCCUUAAAUUUACUUGAUAUCUUUCUGCAUAACUUUUCCGCUGCUACUAACUCUGAAAUUUGCAGAAAAAUUUAUCAUAGAUUUAAGACAACUAAUUCAUCCACCUCUUAGUUGUCAUCCCAGUCUUACACAAAUGGUUAAGCCAUUUCACAUAACCAUUCAUGUAAGAUGACAUUACUAAUAGUCAUCUCACUUAACAUAGUAUAUAUAUUUGAUUUCAUUUAAUUAUUCAAAUAGAAAUAAUAUCAUAACAAAUGGAUGUUUCUUCCAUAAGUUAGUCAACAUGAUUUAACUAUAUCUUUAACUAUUAAACCAUUAUAUGAGACACAGUUCUUACAUUCUCCCACUUGUUUCAUAUAAUAAUACAUUUAUGGUUUAAUAAGAAAACAUAAUGCGCAUAUAAAUAUAAUGUUAAAUCAUCGAUAUAAUGACUACAUCAUAACAUCAUGACUAAGUAGAAAGUUAAUAUUAGUCAUGGCGGUUGUACAUCAUUAUCUUCGACAUAGUACCUUCCAUGUACCACAAUACUAACCUUUUUCCUUAACAUGAUACAUAAUGAAGAUUAUGGUCCAACUUUAAUGUCUUUAAUAAGAUCUUUAUUCUUGUUGUCAUUAUCUAAUCUAAUAAUGUAUACCAAUUAGAAACAAGAAAUAUCAAAAACAACUUUCAUAGUUGAGCUCAAGGUGUUAAACAAUCCAAAAUAAUCAUAAUAUAUUCUCAUUAAUGACGUCCAAUAAUGCCCAUUCUUUUGACAUGAUCAUAAAAUGUCUAGGGCGGUAAUCCUUUCUUAGUGGAUAUGUUCAUAAUAUUGUUAGAAUAUAUGUAAAUAUAAUCUGUAUCUACUCAUAAUGAUAGUGAUAAUUAGUUUCUACACAAUAGGAAACUAAUUAUCAUUAAGAUAGAGAGAGAUCCUAUGCUACAAAUCAGAAACUAAUUAUCACUAUCAUUAUGAGUAGAUACAGAUUAUAUUUACAUAUAUUCUAACAAAUAUUUGUGCUAACAUAUCUUCGAUUGUCACUCUAUGUUUCUGAACUACUCUAACAACAAGAUACUUCAAUUCAUAAGUUUAGAACCCUUAGAGUAUUUGCCUUUUAUUACUGCAGAACUAUUACAACAAUUUUCUAGCGGUCUGACAAUAAUGUCGACAUAAUUCAAGUCCUGAAAUAAAAUCAUAUGGUCGAUUAUCCUGAACUUUAGUCUCAAAACAUGCUAUAAGUUCAACUUUAAAAUCACCCCAAGGCGGUGAUACAUUCCUUAUGUAAAUAUGUGUUCAUUCAUUGCUCUAUACAAGUAGAUUUAGAGCAUUCAGAGCAUGCAUAUUACUCCCAACAUUGCAUGCCUAUAUAAUUAUUUUCAUCCAAUUAUAUUUCAAGUCACUUUAGAACUUUCAAUGAUAUUGAAUUUGGCUUCAUUAUGAGUUGAAACAUGUAUAACACUUUUUUAUUCUAGAUCUCUCUAAAACUCUUUAUAUAUGCCUCAUGAGACAAAUUCAAUGAUCCUUGUGAUAUUUAUGUAAUAUCUUUAUCCCGAUCAUAAUGAUUGUCUCACUCAUAUAUUUUUCAUUUCAAAGUUACUAGAGAGAAGUCACAUGCAAGAGAUCAACAUCAUUAGUUGCAAACAAAACAUCAUCAAUAUACAAAAUCAAGAAGAUAAAUAUAUGUCCACUAACCUUUGGAUAUAUACAUUGAUAAGCAAUGUUUUCCUUAAAUCCAAAUAAAAUAAUAAUAUUACUAAACAUAAAAAUACUAUUAUUGUUGGGAAGCUCACUUAAAUCUGUAUAUUUAUGUUUUAAGUUUAUACACAAUAUGUUCAUUUCUUUCUCACCUGAACUCCAUUAUUUUGUGCUUAUAAACUUAUUCAUCUAAAUUUUCAUUCAGAAAAACAUAUUUCACAUCCAUUUAGUUUAAAUCUUGAUCAUAAUGAGUCAACAAUAAUAUUUUAAUUCUGAGACAAUCUUUCUAAGAGAUUGCAAAAAGCUUUUGUAUAAUUAACGUCAAUUUUGUGAGUAACCCUUUUACAAAUACUCUAAUCUUGUAACAUUAUAAGUUACUAUGAGAGUUGUGUUUAGCCCUUAAAGACUCACCUUCAAACAAUUCUCUUAAAACCUUCGAGUAACUCAACAUGUUCCAAAACUUCAUUAUAUUUUAUGAGUUUUAACUCUUCUUUCAUGACAUCUAAACAUUUAUCAGAAUUAUUACCAUUCUUGGAUUCAGAAAAUAUUAACUGGGACUUUAAUAUUCUAAGUCGAUUUCUAACUUAGGUAAAUAAACCAAAUAACCAUUAAAUAGCUAAUCUCAUUUUUUUCUUCGAGAUCUUCUUAAUGCUAUUUGUCAUGGUUCUUCUACUAUAGGCUCAUUUACUAUAAUUUCAUUAAGACGAGGAGAUCAUUUACUUGUUGUUCUUUAUUGUUAUGGAGCGAUUCAACAAUUUUAAGGAACAACAACUUUAGAAGAUAUACAAGUCAAAGAAUAUUGUAUUCUAUUUUCAAGAAGUUCAACUUUAUGUUGUCUUCUAAUUUACUUUCACUAACUUCGUCAUUCAUAAUGAACUUAACAAUCUCAGAUUCAAUAAUCCUUAAUGAUAUAGUUUCAAUAAUAAAACUUUACCCUUUUAACUUUUCUAGAUAUAACUAAUAGAAAAACCAUUGAUUGCUUUGUGUUGAAUAUAUUUUAUUGUGGAUUAUAGUAUUUAAUUUCUAUUUGACAAUCCUAAACAUGUAAGUGUCUUAUACUAAGUUUCCUAUUAUUUCACAUAUCAAAAGAAAUCUAUGAAAUUAUCUUACUAGGAACCCAAUUCAACAAAUACAUGAUAAUACAUAAAAAAUAAUUCCACAAUAAAAUGGGUAAAUAAGAAUUACAUACCUUAAUUUUGACCAUGUCCAAGAAGAUUUUGUCACGACUUUCUGAUACAUCAUUUUAUAUCUCCCAAAAUACUCAUUACUUUUGGAGAUUUUACACUUUUACCAUUAUAUCUAAUAUCAUUUGAGCUUCAUUAAUAAAAUACCUAGUAUUUACAACUUUAGACUUUUCAUGUAGAAAUUAGACAUACUAUAAUAUGAACAAUACUUACAAAAAAUAUAUAUUUCAUUAUCAAAUAAAUUAAUACAAAAUAGUUGUGUAUACUUUCAAGAAGUUGAGUGUUUGUGGCGUCUUUAACUAUGUGUUUUGCUUGUUUACUUUAAUGCAAUCCAAACAUACAUCCAUAUUAGUAAAAUCCAAAAUCUUAGACAAUUUUAUUAUCUACUAAUCUUUGCAUUCCUUUUUUUUUAGAAAUGAAUCCAAACAUUUACGCCAUAAAUAAGCAAAACAAUCUUUAACUAAUUCAUGUUUAGUAUCAAUAUUCAAAUGCAAGUUAAGUGUUUAAACAUAAGGUUUGUCAAUAUUUAGCUUAUAUAAUUCAUAUAUAACAUAUCACUCCUAAUCAUACAGGAAUGUUCAAACAAACCCCAACUCUUAUUACAACUUUCAUUUCAUUGUCAAUAUGAACAAAUAAUUUGGGUCAUAAGAUUUCUUGCAUUUUAUUUGAAACAUAAACACUUGAUACUUCCAAACCUUAAUCCACAAACAUUAUAUGGAAGUCCAAUUAAUUUUGGUUCAAAAUAAUACAUAAGAAUUAAACUUAUUCUUUCUUUUGAAUCAAGUCUUACUUUUUAGACAAUUCUUUGGAAAUGUCUAAUCUCUUUAGAGAUAUGACUCUGUUUAUAUAUGGUUCCUAAUUGUGGAUUUAAGAGGAAGAAGAUCUAAUAGUCUUUAAUGAUCAUUUUCCUUUAUCAUCAUAUUUCUUACUACCAUUCGUUUCAACUUCUUGAUAGUAAACAUAAUUCAUGGAACAAUUCCUUUGAUUAUUAAGGUUAUUCCAUUCUUGAACUAACAUAAUAUGUAAUUCAUGUACAUCCCAUUUUUCCUUCAUGGGAUUAUAGUUCAUUUAUAAUGGACCAGAAUUCAAUUUAUAUUCAUUCUUAAUGACAUAAAUUUUUGCUGCAAUAUUUGCCAUUUUAAUGACAUUCAAUAGAUAGUACCAAAACCACUAACUUUCAUGGUAAUUAGAUACUCUAUAAGUCUUUUGUUAGAGAUACAUCAUUAACUAAAUAAAUUAGUAGAGUUUAACUUAUUAUUAUCUGCAACUCUCAUCUUGAUAGAUAUCAAACUAUCUUUGUAUAUCUUAAUUUAUCAGGCUUUAUAAUGAGACUUUUCUUUAUUGUUGUUAGCAUCAAUAGUAACAACAUAUCAUUAGUGAGAGUGUAGAGAAGACUAAAAAUACUAUAACAAUAUAGCAAUUCACGUUAAUGUUUUUAGACAUAAGAUACAUCUUACAUAUAUUAUCAAUUCAAACAAUUAAGGUAUAUUAAUGAUCUCAUUUGGAUGAUGCAUUAGUACACAAUAUUAAAAUAUAAUGAUACUUAAUUUAAUAUACAUUAAUCUAGUAAUUAAGAUAUGCUAAAUAGAUUUAUUUGCUAUCUUUGGAUAUGCUAAAUAAAAACUUUUAGGCAUAUUAAUUACUAAUAAUUAUCUUCAUUAAUUAUGACAACAAUUAAUCAACAUUUGAGCGAUCCAGGAAGUCUCAUAACAAUGAAAUUCAAUUUACCCACAAAACAUAAUAAGCAUCAAAAUUUAUGGGUAAUUGAAUAUACUUUUACAAUUUAAAAUUUAAUUCAUUCAUAUUUGGUCACUUUGGUAACUAACAAAUAUAUCAUAGUAUAAAUUUUAAAAUAUAAUAGAUAUGCAAAUUAUUCAACCAAAAUAAUGAUUAGGUUCUUGUCCCAUUAUGAAACAAGAUUUAAUUGAUUAUAUGCGUAUAUACAGAGAAGAAAUAUUAAUUUAUGAAACAUAAAGAACAUAAUUUUCUAUUUAAAAAGUGGCAAGUUCCACACAUGUCUUUAGUUUUGACUUUCAAAUAGCAAAAGACAUUUUGUUGUUUAAAUCUCAAGACGUGCAAUUUUUAAUUUACUAUACAUAAUUGAACAUGGAGGACCAUUGCUUGGUUUCAACAAUAACAAAUAUUCAAAGCAAAGAAUGCAACAAUCUUCAUUAAAUUGUCCAUUCUUCAUCUUUAAUAAACAUGCAUCAACUAGGCAUUCAAAGUAGCAACAUGACACAUAACAAAAUCAUUUAAUAGAUACAAAUUUUAUGUGAUUUAAGAUGAAAAUUAAAUAUCCAUUCCCUAACUUGGUUCUUGUUAUUAAAGAAUGUAUCGUACGUUCUUCAUCCAAUUUUUCAUAACUUUAACACAAAUGUUCUUUGAUUAUAAAAUCAUGCAGCAGAAAACUUUAUACUUGAAUUUGAAUUCUCUCAUGUAAACUCAUGAACAAUCAUAAAAACAAUAUUUAUGGAUAAUGAAUCAAACUUCAUCAACAGAAAACAAUAAAUUAUCAUACUUAUUAUUAAAUUGAAAAAACAUGAGUCCUCAAACAAUGACUCUAAUAACAUAUGUAAACUUACACUAGUUUAUACACAUAUACACUAGUUUAUACGCAUAUAUAAACUUUCAUUAACAUACUAAUAUCAAGAUCUAAAACUACAUUUUUUUCACAAAGAUAAGUAAGAGGAAGCGUACCGUUCUCAUAGAUUUGAUUUGAAGAGGAAGUCUUAAUUGUAGAUGAGUAUUGUCUUGUGAUGUUGAUAUUUCUAUAUCCGUAAAAUGUUGGUUUCUUCCUCUUGACUCAUUUCUUAAUAGUACAUUAGUGAUGGAUAUAAUGUACUUCUUGAUUGAGUAGAGUGACGGCCACAUCCUUAAUUUAUAGGGCAUAUAACGUGCUUCUAUCAUACACCUCUCUUCUUGAAAUUAGCUUUCCAAAUGGUUAGGCCAUUUCACAUAACCAUUCAUAUAAGGUGACUUUACAAAUAGUCAUCUCACUUAACAUAACAUAUAUCUAUUUGAUUUCAUUUAAUUAUUCAAAAAUAAUAAUAUCAUAACAAAAUGAUGUUUCUUCCUGACUUCUCACUUUCUCUAUCUUUUGUAAUAAAAAAAUAUUGACUUUGUUGUAAAUGAAUUACACAUUGUAUGUGUAUAAAUUACAAUAAUUAAUAAUUAUAAAAAACUCUUCAAACAAGUGUAAUCACUUGAAUAUAAAAAUAAAAAGGUAUGUAGAUUAGAGAUAUAUGGACUGAAGUUCAAAAUGAAAAAUCAAUUUUUUUUGAAGAAGUUUGAAUUGUUUUCUAAAGUGGGUUCUUGAAAACUUUCUAUCUUUUUUUCUGAAAUUGAUUCUAUAUUGGUUAUGUGAACCCUCCAACUCUCAAAAUAGUUAUUUUCAGUUCGAGUCACCGAGUAAAUGAAUUACCUAUUUUCAACACCUCAUAAUUGAUUAUUAUUAAGUCAUAAUUGAUUAUCUAUUGUAAAAAUAGUUCCCCAACAACAUUGAUUCAGAUAAUUGAAUAUAUUAUCGAUUUUCCUUCAUAAUGGAUACAUCAUCGAUUAUCGAGAGACAAUAUAUCCCUGCAUCUCAAUCCAAAAUCAUUUAAUGUUAAAUUAGAUAGGUAAGGAGUGUUUUAAACACUUAGCAAUAUACCCCAUUCAUUGUUGACCUAUGAAAUAUAAAUAACAAUCUAAGAUACUAUAGAUUACAUCCUAAUUUUGUUAUUGUCACAUAGCCUUAUUUUGUCUUUAGCUUUAACUAUCUCUACAUAAAAAUAGGUAAUGCAUAGAUUAUUUCAUCUUGGUUUCACAUAACUUUUAGAUAAAUUACUUCGGAUGUAUCUCCUAAUUUUCUCCAUGAAUUUCAACAAAUUAGAAUUUAAGUUGUUGCAUUAAAAUCAUAGUAGCUACCUAAGUUAAAAGUUAUUUUGCUUUCUUAUGAUGUUCAAAUAUCUAUCAAUGUUAAAUUACAAUCAAGGUUACAAUUGUGAUCAAGAUUACAAUUGCGGUUAUGUUCUAAUAUUAUGGUCACAUUUGUUGAGAAAAUGUAUUCUCAGCUUGAAAUAAUCUUAAAGACUUAUAGUUAAAGAUUUCAUUGAGUUGUUAUCUUUAAACUAAAAUAAAGUAAAAAACUUGAUGAACUAUUGUCAGAUCUCCAAGCUAUAUAUGUAAUUCUUCGGUCUUUCAUCUCUUAAAUAUUCUUUGAUUCUUCUAUUACUAGCACAUGUAAUCAUAUCUUAAUGGUGGAGAUAAGAGAAUUCUCACUACCACUAAGGUAAAGUAACAAGCUCCCAAGUCUUAAUCUUCUCAAUUCCUCCUUCAUAUCUUCCACCCAUAUCAACAACUAAAGUCAUAUGCAUUACAUCUCAUUCAUUAAUCGUUGCACUAUCUAAGACUAUUUCAUUAUCAUCAAACCUUCUAGGAAGCACCCUAUUUCUCUGAGAUCUUUGGAGCUGUUGUGGUGGUUGUUGUGUAGCAUUUUACUGAAAGAACUUGGCAAUUAAUAAAAGUUUUUUUUAUACUUUUUUGGAAUUCUAAACAUAUGUCAAUGGACGUGCAUUAGAAAAACUAAUAGUUAAUAACUAUUACAUCAUCAUUGUUAUUCAAUUCAACGUGAUGGCAAAAAUGGUUAUUGUGGGUUUAGCAGAACGAGUCUAGUCCACAAAAUUUAUAUGUUUGGAUUUAUUGAUUAUAGGUUCAUAUCUCUUAAGGGAGAUGGGGAAGUAACAAGAAGAGAACUCAAUUAUUGAACCUACACCAUUUGAGUUUGAGUCUUAGAUCACUAGAGUAAUUAUAAGAUUCUUGGGGGCUCUUUCUAGAUCUCCACUAACAAAUUGGCAAGGAGAUCAAGAGAUCUGAUUGAAUCAUAUACCUGAGAGUAGGUACAAUCUUCAAUCAGGUAUGAGUUUGUAUCUUGAGAAAGAACUUAACCUACAAUUCGGUGCCUCACAUCCAUAGAUUCAUGGAACGAAUGUAAUAAAGUAAGAAAUUUAUUAAAAUCAAGUGAUAACCUUAUCCCAAAACAAUUUUUUAUCUUAAUUCAAUUAUUUUCUAUUUAUUUUUAUUCAAUUGUUAUGUGAAUUCAUAUUUAAAUUUAAUCAAAUAGUGAUUAAAGAAAAAAUAGUUAAACAUAAUCAAGAGAUAUUUGUAGUUCUUGUGGGAUCAAUCUUUUUAUUACUCGGCGACAUAAUUGUGCACUUGCGGUUUAAGCACAUCAAUUUUUGGCACUAUUGUAGACUCUAGCAUAUUCUCUUUAUUCUUAAUCACUUACUUAAUACGCUUUGCUUUCUUUUGGUACAUCCACAUGUUGUUAUAGUAUAUGCAAAGUUCCAUUGAUGCGAGACAGACAAGUUGAUUUGAACUAGAUCUUGACCUAUAAAAGACUGAAUUAAAAAAGAAUGCAACAAAGAGAAAGAGCAAGAUAAAGAUGUGAGUGACUAGAAGCCAUGGCUGACUGAGACAACAAACCUCUUAAGGGCUACACAAUACCCAAUGCUUAUUAUCUACAAUUACUGAUUGCAAGGCCGAUUUUUGAAGUUGAGAACUUCGCCAUACCACCUUCAUUGUGUUGGGUACCAGUAAGGUAAGUCACACCUAGAGGGGGUGAAUAGGUGUAGCGGAUCACUAGUCUCGUUUUUCCACUAUUGGAAACCAAUCAUUUGAUACAAUCAAACUUCCAAUACACCUAGGAAGAACUUCCUUCUUGAACCCGAUAAGCCUACUCACUCGAUUUGAUCUCACGACUCCCCUACUAGGAUACCACACCGUUCACGAUUUUGGCCUCAGCCGAAGAUUCGACCGAUCCAAGACUUCCUGCUUCAUGAAGACACACAAAAUUCUCUUUUAUGAUGAUACUAACAUAUAAAGAGAAACAAUCCUUGUUAUUCACAAUGUUUGUCGAGUUAUCAAUGAACACUUAAUGCGCGAAUAUAGACUCUAAUCUCAGUUCUACAAACCCCUACAGAACUCUCACAAGAAGCCUAAAACUAAAUGUAACGCAAUGUAGUGGUUCUUCAAAUGAAUGAAAACUAUGACACUUUGAAAAAGUUUCUCUCUAGAAAACGAUGCAAGAUUUCAUUUUCUUUUGCUCAAAGAAUAAGCAAGAUUCUAUCAAGUUUAUGUACUGAGAAUCUUGGUUUUCAUCCUCUCAAUGAAAAUUUUGAAUCUAUGAAUUCUACACAUUAGUUGAAAAAACAGUUUUUAUAUGAAACUGAUUUUAACUGAUGUUAAUCGAUUAUCUAACCAGUUAAUCGAUUAACAUGCUUAUGCAAAAUAGUUUUUCUGUUAAGGUUUAAUCGAUUAUCAAUCUCUUUAAUCAAUUAACAAACUAGAAAUCUUAUGAAGUUAGUCACUAUAACUCCAUUUAAUCAAUUAUACCGAUCCUUAAUCAAUUAACAAAUUUCAACCACAUAUAAUCAAUUAUCAAUCACAUUAAUCAAGUAAUGUAUAUGAAAAUGGUUUUCAUUGAUGUAUGGUAAACAUUCUAUAUGAUGAAAAAACAUGCAACACAUGAUUUUGAAAAAGAUGUCUCUUUUAUGGCAAAAACCAUGUAUGAUUAAUGCAGAUGCAUGAUUCUACUUAUCAUAUAUAUUUAGAUGUAAUGGUUCAACCUAGAUGAAUUUCAUUUUAAUCUCUUGUGAGACUUUCAUCAAUGGUUUACCUAACCUAGACUCAAAACUAGGCAACCAUCUUAGGACUUCUAGAAUAAUAAAAGAAUCCUAAGUCUACGAUAUUGACCUUUGAGUCUUUGACAUAUUGUUUGUUGUGAUUUCCAUAUCUGCAAGCUUCCAAUUAACUCCUUGUCUUCAUCAAAACUUAGUAGAUAAUUCAUACCGACAACCUUUGACUAUUUGUGAUUUCAAUCUCCUCUUUUUUGAUGAUGACAAACUCUAAACAAUUCUCUGUUUGAUUGCCUUGAUGUUGAACAACAUGUUUUUGUAAUGGUUGAAUCAGAAUGUGCUGCUCCCCCUCACUUUGUUCUCCCCCUCAAUCCAUAUAGGAGGUGGUACAAGGGUAUCACUUCAAUAUUAAAUGCAAAAGCUCAAUGCAACCUUUAAAACAACUCAAACAACACUUUCUCCCUCUUUUGGCAUGAUCAAAAAGCUAUGACAUUAUAAGAUAAUAACACCCAAAAGUAAGGAAAGAUUUUCAAAAAGGUUCACGAGCCUUAAUUGAUUAAGUAAUCAAGGAUAAUUGAUUAAGCAGUUUCAAAAAGAAUUAAAUAAGUGCGCAGUUGAUGUAGUUAAUCGAUUAUUGGCAGAGAGUUAAUCGAUUAAACAGAAUAAAAAUAGAUUAUGGCAGAAAUGAAUUGCAAGAUAUAUCCAUGUUUGUGUAAUUAGACAAGUUAUCAUAGAAUGAUUAAUGGUAUAUAGUGUAAAUCACAUAGAGGAUAUAUUAACCAUUCAAAUAGAAAGUACAUAAGUUCGAUAUAAUCAAAUAUCAACAGUGGUUCUUACAAAACCAAAUUAAUCAACAAAAUUACGAGAAAUUUCAAAAUGCAUGCAUGAAGUACAUAAUAAGUUCAAAACAUAUUACAACCAAAGUCAAAAUACAAUCUCAAAAGAUAUACAAACACCCUAGACUCUAGAAAAAUCGUAUCUAGGCUAAUCUUGAGGUGGUGGUGGUGGUGAUGAAUAUCUGUGUGGUGCACAUAAUGAAGAUGAUGCGGUCUAGAUCCAUGGUUAACCUCUCUUGUUGCGGUUUGAACUUAGCCGCCAUGGAAUUCCUCAAUGACUGGAAAUGUCCAUCAAUACGCACAUUUAGGCACUAUUCCUUGGCAUCCAAGUGUGAUAGCCCAAAAGAUGGUUCAUGAGGCACAACAUUUGCCUCGACUUGUGGUUGUUCGUGGUUUGGCUCACUAAGAUUUGUAGCAUUGUCUUCAUCAGAUAAGUCACCAUUCACAUUGACAUUGUGAUCCUCUUGGUACAUCCACACUUUGCCAAAUUUGUAAAUUCUCAUUUUGUGAAUGAGACUGUCACCUAGUGGGUGCUCUCGAGAAUUUGUAACCAUGACAUCCACAUUUGACGUGUCAAUUUCGAGAUAAUCAAUAACACGGGAGAUGAAAAUCCCAUAAGCAGGCAACCUAUAUGAAGAUGAGGCUAUUCAAUUCAAAACCUUUAGAAUUUCAGCAGGCCUAUUUACCGUAUUCCUUCCCUUAUGACAAACAUCGGCUUGAGAUCAUUGAUGGUUGGUUGAGCAUGGUUGGUGUUUCUCUUAAUCAGAAUGUACGCAAUUAAGUAGCGCAAGAGUCGAUUUUGAACCGACAAUGACCCAACCUUGGUCAAUUCUCCUUGCACAUACAAAUGAGGUCAUCUUAUACAUUUCAAUAGCAUCGAAUGAGUCCCAUAACUCAUUGCUGCAAUCUCCUAACAUCGAUUCAUCGUUGGAUAAUCCUCCAACAUCUAGAAACAAUUCUUCAUCCAAAUUUAUCAUUUUUCCCAUUACCAUAUAAGCGUAUACCUCAUCCUUAUACCGAAAAUUACAAUAGAAUUUCCUUAUGAGUGAUGGAUAGAUUUUACCUUUCAAUUCUAAAAAAUUAUUUGCAUCUUGGGUCUCUAAUCCAUGAGGGAACUCGAAUCCUUGUUCCACUAGCCAAGCAGCAUCCGCAUAUCGAAUGUAAGUUUGUUUCCUUCCUUGAAAUUUGGCUACACGAGCUUCUUGAAGGAUUGGAGUGUAAUAGGGGUCACCAUAGCCCUUUCUUCCACCUUGAGCGGAAGAGGAGCCAAUGUCCACACCUUGUGGAUGCUUAGCAUUGGUCUUCACCCUUCUUGGACGCGGUUCACCCAUGUUUUUCAGGUAUUAGAGUGAUUAAUCGAUUGAAUAAUUGAUUUUUCAAAUUUGGGAUUAGGGUUUCUAAAAACGGGAAAAGGUUAGGGUUUCAUAUUUCGGUGAAAUUGAAGAUUAUAGGAAGAUGGAAAUGAUGUGAUAGGAUUUGGAGUAGCUAUUGCUGAGGUAGAGAUCACUCAAUUUGAGAAGAAAUUCAGAAGGGGGUAGCGUAGAGGAUUUGGGGUUCUAAUGUCGAAUGACAUAGAACAACAUUGAAACCUGAUAUAAUGUCACCGUUAAUCGAUUAAGGUCAGUGGUUAAUUGAUUAAACACUUUAAGAAAUUUUCAAUUUUCAGAAAUUUGAGCCCAAACAAUCGAUUAAGCAACUUGUUAAUCGAUUAAACCAAGAUGAAAAGUUAUUUUCUAGUUACUGGAACUCAAAUUAAUCGAUUAAAACAUAGAAAAAUCGAUUAAGAACAAAAAUAAUACAUAUUUUAGUGCACUUUUGAGAUCUAUAGGGUAUGCAAAGAUAUUAUACCUAAGACACUAACCUAAAAGGUAUAUGACACACUAAAGAAGUAUAAAACAAUCACAAAAUCAAUUAAGCAUAUGAAUCAUGCAUUCACAAUACACGUUAUAAAUAAGCAUGUAUUAAAGAUCAAAUUUAGAUACUACAUGAUACGUUUAACAUCAGUAAAAUGUGAUUCCUUAAGUAAUGCUUAGUAUCUUUCGCAUAUGCAUACACUAAACAUAAUAUCGGAACGACUAGAAGUUAGAUGCAGCAAUGAAACAAUUAUGCCUCGAUAUUUUGUUAUCUCUAUUGCUUCACCUUUUUCAUCCUUGUUGGGAUAGCAAGAUGAUACCAUAGGUGUUGUCGCUUCUUUGCAUUUGUUCAUCUCGUACUUCUAUUUGAUGAACAAAUAUCAUGUUGCUCAUUUAAUUAACUUUAUCUUUGAGUGACAGUUCAAGAAACUUUGAUCGAUCACCUGUUAUAUGCCUCGAACAUUUAAUAUCCAAAUAUUAGUAUUGACCUUGUGUCUAAAGGCAUACAUGCAAAACAAUUUACUUGGCUUGUUUGGGUAGCCAAGUUUUAUUGGGUCCCUUCUUGUUAGUAACCAAAGAAUCUAGUCCCAUUUUCAUCCAUACAUAUUUGCCACUUGGCACACCAUAUUUUUCAACAUAGCAAGAUAUUGAUGUAUGACCAUAUGUACUAGAAUAAAAGUAAGUAGGCAUGUUAUGAUUAAAUAUUUUAUGCAUGUGAGCCACUUGUUUUCUAUAUGGUUUUCUUCUACUCUUAGGUUUGUAGCCUAGACUUUUAUGGAUACCUACAUUUCUAGAUGUAGAAAGUAAGUUGCUUAGGUUUUGACUACUAUAGGUGAACUUACCUAAUUUAUCUUUCAAAUCAGAAUUUUCAGCAUUCAAAAUAUCACAUUGUUCAUAUAUAGGAGUCUCAAUUAACUUAGUAGAGCAAGUACAUGAGGCACAAGAGUAAAUAAGGUCUAGAGUCUCAUUUUCCAAUUUUAGUUCAUUUAAUUCUUCUUGCACUUAACAAUUUUUUCCAUGCAACAUGAUGACUUUUUUCCUAACUACAUUAACCUUAGCCAAUUUCUUUAACUCCUCAUGUAACUCAACAAAAGCACUCUAAAGUUCAUCAUACGUAGGAGACUCUUCAGAACAUAAAGAAGUGUCAGAAUAUUGUACCUGAUUUGUAUUAUUCUGAUCACUUGAGCUGCUAACUUCUUGAGUAUUUUCCAUGAACUAUAACUUGGCGGUCUCCCCCUAUUCGGAUGUGCUAGAUGUUGUUUCAUCCUCCAGAACGUUCCAAACUAUAUAUGUUAUAUUGGAUAUGAAUUCUCGGGGAUUGCUCUUAUCAUUCUCAACUUUCUUGAGCUAGCUCGAGCAUUGAUAGUGCAUGUGUCCCAGUUUGCCACACUCAUAGCAAGUUAGGUGGUCUUUCGGAACCUUGCCCUUUCAAGUUGAGUCUAUCGCCUCUUUCUUCUGAAACCGUUUGAAACUUCCUCUCUUUUUGAGAAAUUUACCAAAUUUUAAAACUACGAGUGUCAAGGUUUCGUCAUCCAUAUGAGAAUCAGAAUCUUCGUCAUUUUUAUCUUCUUGUUCUUGUGACGUUGUAGCUUUGAGAUAGAUUUUCUUUUUCUUUCUUUUUGUUUCCUCAUGUAUGGUUAAGGGUCCUAACUCCAUUUCAUGCUCUUGGAGUUUUCCAAAGAGAGUUGCUAGAGGCAUUGAAUUAAGAUCUUUUGAUUCCAUAAUUGCCAUGACCUUGGGCUGCCAAUUCAUGUCAAGACAACACAAUACUUUGUUAGUUAGUUCACCAUUAGCAAAACUCUUAUCUAAAGCAACAAAAUGAUUAACUAUAUGAGUGAAUCUUUUCUACAUAUCACUUAUCGAUUCAUUUUGAACCAUUCGGAAUAACUCAUAUUCGUGUGUUAAUGCAUUUAGUCUCGCGCGUUUAACUUUGAUCGUGCCUUCGUGGGUUACUUGCAAAGUGUCCUACAUAUCUUUCGCACUAAGGCACUAUGAGACUCUAAAGAACUCGUCGUAUGAUAAAGCAGAAGCAAUGAUGUUGUUACCCUUAAGGUUGUACUAGACUUUUCAUUUCUCUUCAUUGGUCCAUAAGCCUUUAGGUUUUUCUUUAAGCUCACCAUCCACUAAGUGAAGUGGAGUACAAGGCCCAUUGAUAACGGAUUGCCAAAUAUCCGUGACAAUUGCCUCAAUAAAUAUUCUCCUACGCACCUUCUAGUAGGUGUACCCCUCACUACUAAAUAUCGGAGGGUGGUUGAUGGAUUCGCCCUCACCACCGAAAGGGUUAGUGGAACCCAUAGUGAAUAUCCAUAGGAUCAACAAAUAAAGCGGUCAAGCUAGCACUUUCGUACUAGCUCUAAUACCACUAGUUGGGUACCAAUAAGGUAAAUCACACUUAUAGGGGGUGAAUAGGUGUAGCAGAUCACUAGUCCCACUUUUCUGAUUAAUGCACAAAAUAGAAAGUUGUUGCAAUUAAUCGAUUAUGCUAUAUCUUGAUAUUCUUGAAAAUAGAUUUUUUGCAAUGCAAAAAUGAUGAUUAACAAUCUUUAUUGCCCUAAAUUGAUUCUUGAUUUUAAACAGAUUAUUAACACUUAGCACAAAUUACAAAAAUCAAUCAAAUCAGAAAUCAAUAAAGACUGAAAUGUAAAAGAGAUAGGUAAAAAGAAAGUACUCAAGGAUUUAUAUUCUUGUUUUGUUUGCGGGUCCACUUGAAAAAUACAUCCAGACCUUUCCUUCUGAUCUUAGGAGAUUUUUCUUCACUGUUAAAAACCAAUUGUUUUAUACAAUCAUACUUUCAAUACACCUAGCAAGAACUUCCUUCUUGAACCCAAUGAGCCUACUCAUUCGAUUUGACCUCACGAAUCGCCUACUAGGAUACCAUACUGUUCGUGAUUCUGGCCCAACCGAAGUUUCGCUUGAUCCAAGACUUCCUGCUCUAUGAAGACACACAAUUCUAUUUCAUGAUGAUACUAACACAUCAAGAGAACCAAUCUUUUUGUUUCACAAUGUUUUCCGAGUUAUCGAUGCAAACUUAAUACGCGAAUAUAGACUCUGAUUUCGGCUCUACGAACCUCUACAGAACUCUCACAAGAAGCCUAAAACUAAAUUGACAUAAUGCAGUGGUUUUUCAAAUGAAUGAAAACUAUGGCACUUUGAAAAAAAAAUUCUCUUUUUUUCUAGAAAACGAUGCAAUAUUUCAUUUUCAUUUGCUCAAAAAAUAAGUAAAAUGCUAUCAAGUUUUUGUACUGAGAAUCUUGGUUUUCUUCCUCUCUAUGAAAAUUUUGAAUCCAUGAAUUCUACACAUUACUUGAAAAAACAACUUUUAUAUGAAACUGAUUUUAACUGAUGUUAAUCGAUUAACGUGCUUAUGCAAAAUAUUUUUUCCGUUAAAGUUUCAUCGAUUAAUAAACCAAAAAUCCUAGGAAGUUAGUCACUAUAGCUCCUUUUAAUCAAUUAUACAAAUCCAUAAUCGAUUAACAUAUUUCAACAAGAUAAAAUUGAUUAUCAAUCAUGUUAAUGGAUUAAUAUAUAUGAAAAUGAUUUUCAUUGAUAUAUGGUAAACAUUAUAUAUUAUGAAAGAACAAGCAACACAUGAUGUUGAAAUAGAUGUAUCUUUUAUACACAAAAACCAUGUAUGCUUACUGUAGAUGCAUGAUUCUACUUAUCGUAUAUAUUUAGAUGUAAUGCCUCAACAUAUAUGAAUUUCAUUUUAAACUAUUGUGUGACUUUCAUCUAAGGUUUACCUAACCUAGACUCAAAAUUAGGCUACCAUCUUAGGACUUCUAGAAUAAUAAAAUAAUCAUAAGUCUACGACGUUAACCUUUGAGUCUUUGACAUGUUGUUUGUUGUGAUUUCCACAUCUUCAAGCUUCCAGUUAACUCAUUGUCUUCAUCAAAACUAAGUAGAUCAAUCAUAAUGACAACCUUUGACUAUUUGCCAUUUCACCUUGCUAUCUAUGAUUAUGCAAAAUCAAUUUAAGAGAUUGACUUAAGAAAAUCAUAAUGCUUACAUUGAAAGGUUCUCGGAAUUCUAUGAAACCAUCAGAAGUCACUAUAUGCCUCCCCCUAUUCCAAUCCUCUUUGAAGGACAAGGCAAGACAUUGGUUAAUGUUUGUACCUGAAGAGACUUUGACCACGUAGAUUCCACUAGAGUAAGUCAUCCUUAAUAAGUUCUUCCAGCCAUCUAAGGCUGUUUACUAUAGAAGUCAAAUUCAGAAAUUCAACCAAAAAGAUGGGGAAACUAUCUUGGAGGCUUGGAAGAGAUUUAAAGAUUCGCUAAAAGCUUGACCAUACCUUUUACAACUGGUUGGAUUUUUCCUCAAAGUAAUUACUUGACUUCACACCUAAUGAAACACUUAGGAACAAGGGUCUAAAUGUUGCUUAUUGUAAAUGAAAGCACACAUAACAUAAUUUCAAUGAAGAUAAAGUUUAAAGACAAGCUUCAAGACAUGGACAAAUCGACAAACAACAAAGCCAAGGCUCAACGUUCAAGCAUUCAAGAAGAUUUAGAAGACUAAUGUAUUGUCUAUUAUCUUAGGUCUUAAGAAGUUUUAUUGGGUAGAGUCUAGGUUAGGUGAACCUUAAUGGAAGUCUCAUAACCUAAAAUAUGAUCAUAACUAAUAUGAGAUUUAUAAGCAUACAUACAUGAUUUAUAUGCACAUGCAUAAAUAGAUGGUCACGUCAUUUUUGUGCAUUAAACCACGGUUAAAUCAUACAUAAUUCAAAAUCAUGCAUCAUAGUUUUAAAAAUCAUGUAGAAGGUUCAUAACACAUCAAAGUAACUUUUUAGAAAACUCUUAAUCGAUUAAUGUUGAGUUAAUCAAUUAAGACAUGCAAAAAGGGAAUCCGUUAAUUGAUUAAGUUAAGGGUUAACUGAUUAAGGGAAGUUACAGUUUCUGGAGUCUUGAUAUUUAAAGAAUGUUAAUCAAUUAAGUAGAAUGUUUAAUCGAUUAACUAGAACAAAAAAUAUAAUUGUAUUUUAAACUAACUUUUCCCAUUUGCCACAAAUUGAUUGAAUCAUUGAUUGGUUUUUUAUUUUAUUUUUACACUCAAAGAUCGAAUUUUCCAAGUGUUUCUGAAAAAAGAGAAAAGUAAUUUGAUACACAAAAGAGAUAGGAGAAUACUUCAUGAAUCAUUCAAGAAGUAUUACAAGAUUUUCACGUCAUAUCAAGUUUAUGAUACCUCGCAUCUCACAUCUUCAUAUUCUAGGUUAUGUGAGACUUUUAGGGAAGAUUUUGUAUUCUGGAAGUUCGUGCAUAUUCAGGACAUUUAGGUGUAUUAUUCAUUUUUACAUAUUUAGACAUUUGUAUUGACAAUUUCUCUUUGGUGUGUGGUAUCACCAAGAAAAAGAGAAUGUUCGAUAAACCCUAGUUAGAAGUGGUGAGGAGCCAUUAGAAGUUAGGUUCAUUGUUCAAGUAAUAUUGGUAGAGAAGUUAGAAGUGGUGAGUUUGUCCAUUAGAAGUGGUGUGGGAUCUAUUAGAAGUGGUGAAGGCAAGCCAUUAGAAACUUAGUCCAAGAUAGUCUUGGUGGAAAUGUGUUUGUAAAACAUUAUUCCAUAAGAAGAAAAUCUUCCAAGAUUUGAAAGGGGACCUGGAUGUAGAUUGCAUGUGGAUUAGCAAUUGAACUAAGAUAAAAGUCAUUGUCUUAUUUUUCUUAUCCCUUAUUAUUUACGUUUUCGUAAUAUUCGAUUUACUUUACUUGACAUUCAAAUCAUUAUGAGUUUAUUGCAUGUUCUAUUUUGUAUAAUUAACUGCAUAACUGUAUAAGUUCAUCUAGUAAAGUUCAUACAAGAUUAGGUAGACUUUUGAAUCUUAGUUUAUCAAGAAAACAAGUUUUUCAAGAAAAAAGAAUUGGUUAAUCGAUUAAGCUCUGAAGUUAAUUGAUUAUAUGCAAUCGAUUAGGACAUCCUUUAAUCGAUUAAACUGAGAGGAAAAUCAUUGAAUAUCUUUUACGCCGAAAAGCAGUAAUCAGGUACUGAACCACCUAUUCGCCCCCUCUGGAUGAAGUUAGAGCCCUUGUUAACCAAAACUUAUAAGAUUAUCGAAAAUGUGGCAUCAAACCAACAUCAAGUGGAUAAUGAUAGGAGUCCAUUCAAGAGGAUUUCACCUGAAAAUUUUGAAGUGGAUGGUGUGAACUUGAUAAUGUCCAACAUGGGUUCCAUAAGCAUGCAAAUUGAAAAGGUAAAAAGGAGUAUUGUGAAUGUCGUGAACACUGAAUACUCAAUGUGAAGCAUGGGACGCUUGGGCAAAUAAACCUACCAUACUAGAGGAACAACUCAUACCUAUCCUAUAGGAACAUUAGGACUCUAAAUCAGCAAAUGAGGAGGGAAAAGGUAAUAUUAAACCCAUAAGGAAAUUAUGCAUCAAUGUAAUUUGUGCCCAACAUCAAAUUUCUGGUUCCUGUAUGAUCAAUUGGGGCUUUAAUUAAUUGAUAAAAUGAAGAAGACAAAUGCAUAUUAUUUGUUUAAUCAAGUCAUUCAUUUAAUCUUAUAUUGAAAAUAAUUUAUAUAGAACAAGAAUUAGCUAAAUUUUUUAUUUUGGAGUCGUUAAAGGAUAAAAAGUUACACUUUAAAUAUAUAUACAUUUUUCUUUAAGAUAUUUUAUUUUUAAUUAUAGUUAUAUACUUCUUUAUAUUUUAUUCUUCUUUAACUAAUUUUAAUUCUAAAUUGUAAUUAAAGAUCGUUACCCCUUAUACAUAAGGCUGAGAUCCGCCCGUACUUACAAACAUUCUUUAGUAGUUUGAUUGGGAAAUUGAGCUGGGAUGGAAAAACGAAACACAGACAUAUCCAACACAAGCAAAACCCUCUUUUACUUAGGGCCAAUAAUCAUAUGUGACUCCUUCUUAACAAAAAAAUAUAAAAAUGUUAUGACAAGGGCAUCAUUUGAGUAUCAUUUAUGUAUAAAUAAUGAAGUUAAUGCAAUAAUAAAGACCUCAAAUAAAUAUAAUCAUUAUUUUCUUCACUGUUUCUAUUUAUAAUGUUCAACAUAAAAUAUAAAUAAUAUGUGAUGUUGUGCAAUUUUUUUGUAUCGUCUCUCAACCCGCAUCAGGCGCACCAUUAGAUUCCUUAGUACUGCUAAUAGAUGCCAUUAAAUACUAUCACCUUCAUAAAAACUUUAUAUGUAUUAUUCUUCUGGGUAUGCCACGUGUAUGAUCAGCUUAUAUGUCGAUUGAUUGAGAAUAAUGUCCAAAUAUUUGAAUAAAGUUACUCUCCAUUAAUGGAAAAGCAAAUACUUUAAUUUUCUUGUAUUUCUAAUAAUAAAGAUCUUAUUUUAUUAUACUAAAAAGGAUAAAUAUAUUAUUACAUGGUAGAUUUCUUUUUGUUUUUCAAAAACUUAAAUGGAGAGGAUCCAUACUCCAAAUAUUUAUGUUUAAAUAUAUUUCUGGUCUUUAUAAAAUAGGUAAGAGUGGAAAUAGGUUAGGCUGUCUACCAUGGACUUAUUACCUGACCUAUAACAGGUUAGGUCAGACCAAACUUUUUUCGGGAAUAUGUCAGACUUAAACUUUGAAAAACUUAUUUACCUUAACAGACCAGACUAUAGGCCAACCAAAAUAUUUAUUUUGCAUAAUAGGCUGACUUAUUUAGUUAUAUUAUGUAAUAUGUUCCUAUUAUACAAUUUUAAUGUAAGUAAUAUUAUUAUACACAUGUAAUAUUAAUAUAAAAAUAUAAUUUAAUUGUUAGUGUUAGAAGAGUCUAAUUAAAAGUAGAAAUAUUAACCUAUUUAAAUGUAGACAUCAUAACAUAUUUCAAGAUUAUAUAGUAUAAUUGACUUUUAAAUAGGCUAAUAGGUCAUAUUAGGCUUUUAAAUAAGUCAGGCCUAGACUUUGAAAUUGUUUUUAAACCGGCUAACAUGUCAGACUCAGGCUCCUAUAUGCUAUAUAGGCUGAAUCUGUUUAAAGCAAAAUCUGACCUGAUUUGGCCUAUCCUUUUUCACCCUUAAAAAUAGAGAAUUUUGAAUCAAGUCCACAUAAAACAAUUGCCAUAGUCCCUUUAUAGUUGUUAUUCCAUCAUUUUGACUAAAUACUAAUGUAAGGAGAAGCCUUUAGUGCACAAAACCAUUAAGCUUGUACUUGUUACUGAUCACCUGUUUCAUCUAAAAUAAAUAACACCUUAUUAUUUUUGUUGUAGAUGAGACGUGAACCAUCAAUCUUCUUUGGUCACAUCCUUCAUCCUAAUCAUCAAACUUUUUUUUUGUUGAUAAGACUUGAAUUCAUAAUCUCCUUCGCUUACAUCCUUUACCUAACUAUCAAACUAUCUUAUAACUUCAUUUUUGUUGUUAUUGAUGAGACUCGAACUCGCAACAUUCUGCAUUAUAUUUCUUAAGUCUUUCAUCCUUACCAUCAUACUAAUUUCAUUUUUAUUAAAAGUUUAAUCAAGAGACCGAUAUUUAGAGUCUGCGGCAGAUGUGAGAGCCCGAGACAAAAGGAAGAAGUUAAAUUGAAUCAGACAAAAUGUAUCAGAAAUAAAAUAAUUGUUCAGUGGGUGCAUGUGCACAGAUCGGAUAAGUCGACCUUUAAAUUGGGUCCAAUUUUGAAGCUAAUGAAAAUGGGAGGUCAUAACAACCAACAUAAUAAUUAAUAAACUGUAGCCAACGAGUAAGUCCCAAUCUGAUAAAAAUAUUUAAUGUGUGAUAAUUCAAUGAACAAAAAGAUAUUCUUCCGGAGGAACUAGUAAUUGGUCAAAUAUAGAGUAUUUUUAAGAAGAUUAGGAAAAAUAUCUUUUAUUUAGAUAGAUUAUUUACAAUUCUCACCUAAAAAUCAUUGUGAAAUAUAUAUGUAUUAUAGUAUAAAAAUUUAUACCCAGUCAAUACACCAUUCACCAUUCACUUAUAUUACUUUAUGAAAAGUCAAUGAUGAUUUAAAACGAAUGAUGAAUGAUACAAUGUGACUGUAUGAACUCAUACACUAUCGGAAUAUACGUUUUUUUCCUCAAAACUCACACCCUAGAGAUUACCAACAAGGCAUUAGGCUUACUGAAAUGUCAAAUGUUUAAUUCAUGUGAGCGACAUUUGUUGGGAGUAACAACCACACACUCUGUGAGAUUAGUUACUUACUCAUAGAUGAUGGAUAUACUCUUAGUUAAUCAUAUGACAAACAAUAAAUCGAAUCAACUCAAUAUUCGUUCGAAACUCGACUUAUUAUUUAGCUUGACAAACUUGAUUCAUAAAUCAAAUGAGCAAAACUUAAGUUGGAAAUUGAACUCCUAAAAUUAACGAGCUGAACUUAAGCUGAAUACAAUUCGACUCGUUAGAUUCGUGAAUUGACUCGAUAUGUAUAUAUUUAUUUAUAUAUAAACUAAUUUAUUAUAUUCAUUGUUAUUAUAUAUGACGCAUGCAUUAUUUUUUAUGUUAAUCGUUCAUUGUUAUUAUAUCAUUCUUAUUAUAACUUUGUGCAUCAUUUUUUAAAAUUGAUUAAUUAUUAGAGUUGUAUGUCCAAAUGAACUAAUUUGAGCCGAGUUAAACAAUUUGUGAACUUUAAUUGAGCCGAAUUUGAAUUGAAAAAAUAACUUGUAUCGAAUUCGAGUCAAAUUUUAAGGUGAGCAAAUCCUGAUCGAGUUGAGCUCUAAUUCGACUCAACUCAUUUUCAGUCACAUCUAUCACUAUCACAAGAAUCUUACAACUCACUUAACCUUAUCUUACAAUAUCAUACUACAUCAUUCCCUAACACACAACUCAUCACACCAUGAUAACAAAGUGGUUAGAAGAAUAAUACAAGAAGUAUAUAAAUCUAACACUUAGGCAUGCGAUGUGACUUCUCACCAGAAAUAUUUUAAUAUGUGAUUUAAUAAUGUUUAAUGGUUGUUAUAUAUUGAUAUGCAAAGUAGUUAAUUGCAUAAGUCUUGCUUGUCUUCACUGAAAUCUUGUUUCAUACUCCAAUGACGUAGUCAACCCAUUAAAAGUUUAUAUCAUUGGUGAUGUUUCUUUUAUUAAGAUAUGGAAAGAAGAUCUUUCAGCAGUAAGGUAGUAAAAAUAUAGCUAUUUAAAAUUCUUAAGAUAUGGAAAGAAGCUCAAGUUGGAUUUCUGAAUUAUAAUAAUUCAUAUGAACUAAAAGGAUGAAGGGUAUUCCCUGUUAAGUUCUUGUUCUCCUCGCCUGCACACCAGCAUCGUGAGAUUAUAGAGAAAGAAAAAAUGUAUAUAUCAACAUGUGUACUGUGUUCUUUUUCAUCAUAGUUGGUAACUUGGUAUACUCAUAGGUAACAAUGUUGUCAACACUCCUAUUUCUUCUAUGCCUUACUCUUCCUAUACUUGUAUUUUUCUUCAUUCACAAUCACAAAAACAAUAAGAACCCACCUAGUCCACCUGGUCCUAGAGGACUUCCCAUAAUUGGAAAUCUUCUUCAACUAGACAAUACUAAACUUCAUCUUCAACUAUGGAACCUCUCAAAGAAAUAUGGUCCUAUAUUUUCGCUUCAACUCGGUUCAAGGCCAGCCCUUGUAAUUUCCUCACCAAAACUAGCCAAAGAGGUUUUGAAAAACCAUGGCCUAGUUUUUUCUGGAAGGCCUUCUUUCCUUGGCCAACAGAAAUUGUCCUAUAAAGGGUUAGAGAUAUUUUUUUCACCAUAUAGUGAUUAUUGGAGAGAAAUAAGAAAAAUUUGUGUUGUUCAUAUCUUUAACUCCAAGCGUGUAACAAGUUUUUCAUCUAUAAGACAAUAUGAGGUUAAGCAAAUGAUAAAAACAAUAUCUAGGCAUGCUUCUUCUUCAAAAGUCACAAACUUGAGUGAGUUAAUGAUUUCUCUUUCAAGCACUAUAAUUUGUAGGGUUGCUCUUGGGAGAAGGUAUGAAGAUGAAGGAACAGAAAAGAGUAGGUUCCAUGGGCUAUUCAAUGAGUUUCAAGCAAUGAUGACAGCUUUUUUUGUAUCAGAUUAUAUACCCUUCAUGGGUUGGAUUGAUAAACUUACAGGGUUGCAUACACGUUUAGAUCGAAUUUUCAAGGAGAUGGAUAAGUUCUACCAAGAAGUCAUUGAUGAACGUGUUGAUCAGAAUAAGCAAUAUAGAGAGGAAGAGGGAGAGGUUAUAGUUGAUGUCUUACUUCAUCUGAAGAAGCAGCGUUUGUUUUCGGUUGAUCUCACUUAUGAUCAUAUCAAAGCAGUGCUCAUGGUAUGAUCUCUUAAUCUAUGAACCACUCAUACCAAUAGUAUUGUAUAUGAAAAGUAGAUACACAUAUUUUUAGAAAAUGAAGGAUACAAUAUGACAUAGGAUACGAAUCUUUAAAAUAUUCAAGUAUUUGUCCUCUCAAUAUUUUAAAUUGCGAUUAUGAUCGUGAUUGUGGUUAUAGUUGUGAUUACUGUAACUCUAGUUGUUGUGAUGCGGCACUUGAAGUAUGAAUUAUUUUAUGAUUUCAAAAUAUUUUUGAAUCUGAUGUAGCCCGAUAUAACUUAAAUGCGGUCUAAUACAGUUGCGCUGCAGCCUGAUAUAGUUAUACAUUAUUGUGAUUUGGAGUCACACUGUAAUUGGUUGCAGUGUGAUGCUAAUUUGGCCGUCACUACAAAAGUUAUAUUGUAGCUGCAUUACAUGAUGCGGUCCACAAUCUGAAUCAUUAAUAACUCUUAAUUAUAUUUUACUUUUCCUAUGCUUUCAUUUUCUUUAGUAAAUACAUAUACACUCUCAAUUUUGCAGCGAUUGUGAAACUCUUUGGUGACCUUGGAGUGAAAUUCAUUGCUCUUUGAGUUCCUAGUAGUUUUUGCUGAGUAUAAUCACUUUACAAAAUCUGUGUUUGUCAAACUAAUUGGUUCUAGAGACUAACUUGCUUCAAAUGGAUGUUAAUGAUUAAACAAAUAUGUUUGCAAUUAACUUCUUUUCUACUCAAUGAUUGUAUAGAUGUAAAUUAUUAAACAAUACUAAUCACAAGUGAUACUAAACUUCUUUCCUUAUAGGAUAUUAUUGUAGCAUCAACAGAUACCACUGCAGCCACAAUAGUAUGGGCCAUGACAGCACUAAUAAAAAACCCAAGAGUAAUGAACAAAGUACAAGAAGAAAUUAGAAAGUUUGAAGGUGAGAAAGAUUUUAUAGAUGAAGAUGAUAUUCAAAAGUUUCCUUAUUUCAAGGCAGUGAUGAAAGAGACAUUGAGAUUGCACCUACCAGCCCCACUACUUGUUCCAAGAGAAGCAAAUGAAAAUUGCAUUAUAAAUGGCUACCAAAUUAAAGCCAAGACAAUAGUUUAUGUGAAUGCUUGGGCUAUUCAUAGGGAUCCUGAGGCUUGGAAAGACCCACAAGAGUUUUAUCCUGAAAGAUUCUUAGACAGUGCUAUAGAUUUUCAAGGACAAGAUUUUGAAUUAAUUCCUUUCGGAGCAGGUCGUAGAGUUUGUCCGGGUUUGCCCAUGGCAAUUCCGGCAUUAGAUCUUAUUCUUGCUAAUCUCCUUUAUUCCUUUAAUUGGGAAUUACCACCUGGAAUUGUAAAGGAAGAUAUCGAUUUGGAAGUAUCGCCUGGACUUACUCAACACAAGAAGAUUCCUCUUUGCCUUUAUGCCAAGAACUAUAUGAGUGUAUAAUCAAUGGAAAAUUUUAGAGUGUAUGAAGAAAAUAUUUGUCAUGAACAAUAGUCUUUGAAUACAUUUGUGAUGUGUCUUGUUAGUGUGCUUUGGAAAAAUAAGUUUCUAGUUCUCAAUGCUAGAAAAUUGUAAGUCAGCAAAGAAUUGUAAACAAUUUACUAAUAUGUAUAGUAAUGCUACCACUACUAGCAUAAGCAAGUGCGUUUAUGAUGGCUGUAAUCAAGUUAUUUUGAAAUGAAUUACUACUUUUUCUAUGCAUAUUGUAUGACAAUAAAAAAUUGUAAAAAAUAUAUUAAUGUGUAUAUUAAUGCUACCGUUCCUAGCAUUAGUUAGUGUAUCUAUGAUGGUUGCAAUAAAGUCAUUUUGAAAUGAAUUAUUACUUUUUCUAUGCAUAUUGAGAUUGAUUUCUCUAUUUAGACAUCAGCAUGGUAUCUGUUUAAUUAUCUAUAUAGCCAUUGUAUUAUUUUUAUUUGGAACAAUAGUAUGAUAUCUGUUUAAUUAUCUAUACUUAAAAUGAUAUUCUAUAAAAUAGGAAAAUUAAUACGAUGUUUAACUUUAUAACAUUAUUGUAAUUUAUAAAUAUAUAUUUUGUAGAUAUCACUCCAUUUUUUAUUCAAAGUCAUAACAUAAUGUUUAUUAUUUUUUUAUUAUAAGUUAUUUUGUAAAAUAAUUUUUAUAUGUGGCUUCUUACCAAGCCAAAGAUCCCAAAAAAGAUAAAAAAAAUAAGGAAAAACGGAUGGCUAUAACGCCUUGUAAGCUCGGCCCAAACACAGUUCUAUUGAAGUUUGGCCGCUCCGGGUUAAAAAGCACGGAUUUAGUAAAAGUUACAAAAUAUAAUAUUCAAGCCCCAUAAAUUUUCGAACUUUGGUGGGUCUGUCCAACCAGGACCGUCCAUUUUGACACUUCUACCUUAAAGUUUCACCAUAUAAUAUGUAAGAUAUUUUUCUUCUCCCUAACUCAUCCUUUUUAAAAAAAUUCACUUUAUCGUUUCAUUUAAGAUAAUCUAGGCACUAAAUUAAUGUGAGCACGUGACUUUAUUUAGAGAAGAGUUAUUAUUUCUCUUGUUUGAGUCUUUUUUUUGCUUCACCCUUGAAUUUUCCAACGUCCCCUUUCUGAUUUAGAAACAUUCCAAUUUUUCUAAAAAAUAACCCCAUUUUAUCUUCAUCAAUAUCAUAUAAAUCUAAACUAUAUUCAUCUUUUACCAAAAAGACUAUAUUCAUCUUGUGGUUCUUCAAACAUUUUCCACUCUCGAUGAUGUUAAUUAAAUGACAAUCUCUUUCUUCUUUCAAUAAGUUUCUUCUCAAGUGAUAGAUGUUUGACUUCCAUUUUAUACUUGUUUAGCUUCAUGAAUAAUGUAACAAUGUGAUGUGAGUCAAAUGGGGGUCACAUUGUGGAGUUUUAUUUAAUAUAGUGUGGGUCUUUUAUCCUACGUGUAGUUUAAGUUAUUUUUAUUAUUUUUAAUAAAUCAUUGUAAUUCUUAUGGAUUGUUGCCUCUUGAGGGAAAGGCAUGGAAUUAUUUAUUUCCAUAUAGAGACCAAGCCGUCUGGUAACUUCCUUUUCGAGAAGGCGCAUGAUUCAAUUUAAUUGCAAGGGAUUGUGACUUGCCAAAUAAGAGAAAAUUCCAAUAAAAUUAAGGCACAUGGUAAGAAAUUAAAAUACAUGAAAUUACCACAUUCUAUAUAUGAUUUGGCAUGUAACUUGCAUUGAGAAGAAGCAAUGAAUGGACAUGGGCAUAUAAGCCAAGUUUAGUGUGAAGAAAAAAAUAAAGAAAAAUAUGACUACUUACCUUAUUUGGAGUCAUGGAGAUAUUCAUGGGAUUCAUUUCAACUCCAUAAGUUAUGGUGAUAUUUGCCUUGUAAAAUCGUUGCCUAUUAUUUCCUUUAAGGGAAUCAAUGAACCAAGACAACCCAUAGGUUUUAUGCGGGAGAAUUAGACAUGUUUAAUGUUUUAAUUUUUUUAGCUUAUUUCGUGGAGCCGUAUUGACUAGCCAUAACCAUAUAUGUAACUGAAUUACAUUGAGAAAUAACUACUUGAAUAUUAUUUAGAUUAAAUCCUUCCAUAUUAGUUGAGUCGUGCUGCUACAAUUAGAACUUAUUAAGGUAUAUUCACUGUGGUGUUCAUAGGGUUAUCACCAUUGGUGUGGCGUCAUACCUUAGUUCUCAUCAAGCAUCCUUGUUUAUGACGAACAACCUUGCUUUAUCAAAUACUUGUCUUUGUGGCGCCUUCAUCUUGUCAAUCUUUACCAUCUUCUCUUUUCCUAAUCAAAAUACAAAUCCAUUUACUCAAACACAACACAUUCAUACACAUUCUCUCUCAAACCAAAAUACACUCAUCACCUAAUUAAGUUCAUACAAAUUUUAAUCAUUAACAAUUUAAAAAUACAAAUAAACCUUCAAUCAAGAAUGAUCGAUAAACAAUCACAACCCCUUCAAGUAGGUUCAUAUCACAAUGGAAAUGGUAAAAAGAUCAUUUGGGUUGUCAAGUCUUAUAAAGAUAUCAGAGAACAUUGUAAAGCAAUUCAUCAUUACUAAGAACAUUACCUAGGAUAGUAAUAAGAUUAAAAAUAUGGGAGAAUUGUUUUUGAAUAUCACUAAUUUUUCAUUUGGUAAUAUGCCAAACAAUUCAUAUUCAUGCAUUAAUGCUUGUAUCCUUGUGUGUAUCUUGAAAAGUGGCCAGCAUAUCCUUAACACUAACACAAUUACAAACUCUAAAAAAUUCAUCAUAAGAUAAUGUAGAAUUAAAAAUUGUUCUUAGCCUCAAUAUUGUUUUGCACUUUCUUUUUCACAUCACUAAUCCAUUGAGAUAUAGAUUAACACAUAGUGACACUAUCAAACAAAUGUUCUAGCGCAAGAGGUCCAUUCUUUGUAGAUUCCCAUAUAUAAACAUCUACAACUUCAUUGAAAAUUUUUGUUCAUGUUUUCCAAUAGGCUUAACCUUCACCAUUGAAGAUUGAUAGUCUAUUAAUUGAAGCACAUUUGCCAUUAGAGCUCACGCCUUUGGAUCUUUGUUAUGAAUUGUGUUAAUUUCUUAAGUUUAGUUGUGAUGUCACUCAUUAGGUAAACAAAGGUUCAACACACACAUAGAAUGAGGUUUUUUGUACUACCAAGGGUAUGAAUUAAUCCCUUUCGAUGUGUGUGGUUGUCCCUUCCAACAAGUGUUGCUCCAAGGAUAAAAACAAUCACUUUAAUGCAACUUAAAUGAUUGAUUAUUGAGCAAUUAACAAUAGUAGUGUUCUUUUAUGUUAAUCAGAUGAGGCCGAAAUCGAGUGUCCGGUUGAGUAACAGAAGUUUGGAGCUCUGAUCGAAAUGUUGUUUGGAUCUGUCAGGGGAAGUACCUGAAAAUGUUCUCCGACAAUCAACUCAAUAUAUGGUUUUAGAGAGAGAUUGAGAGUAAAUAAGAUAGAAGUGAGGGCAGAGUAAUGAAUAUAAGUAAUAAAUAAGGAAUGAUAUAUUAAUGCUACUUCAUGUAUAAGAGUCUCCUAUUUCUAGAGUUUGGAAUGGCUGACGUAGUGUCUAGCCAUUGGCUAUUGUAGGGGUAGGUCGGGUUGUCCUUAACCACCCUGCAGGUUUGCUACUGUCGAUCUGUUGGGGCAAGUAGAACUUGCAGGUGGUGUUACAAGUGGAAUGUCAGCGACAUAUUAAUGGCGAACCAGAUGAGCAUUAAUGGUGAGUCAGAGAUGCAUUAAUGAUGUAUCAAAGAUAUUAAUAACGCUUGUAGUAAGCUUGGCCCAUCCUUGGUGAGUAAAUGACGAGUAUUUAAUAUGGUUGUGCACCCAGAACAAACCCGGAUUUAUCCAGGGUGGAACAAGUACCAUAAAAUCAAUUUGAUUAAGAAUAAUGCUUUAAACUAAAAAAGAAUCUAAUAAUGAUGAUAACACUUGAUAAAUAGAAAGUAAUCAACAAUUAUCCAAUUUAUCAAAAUAAAUGAGAUAGUGGUUGAGAAAAUUUGACACACAGAUUUAUCUUGGAUCAAGCUAACCCACCGACAUUACAUAACCUUAUUGUGAUUUGUGAAUUGUCACUCUACAAAAGCUCCAUUUUUUGUAUACAAGAAAACUUCAAAGAUUGAAUCCUAAUCUUGAUGCUAUUAAUAGCAAAAUGGGAUGGUCCAACCUCUUUAGAUCGAGUUAGGAUCCUCUCCGUUAAUGGAGAGAUAAAUACUUCAAAAAAUAAAAAAAAUACAAUUUUUAAUGACAUAUUUAUCAUUUUAAUUAUAACAAAUUACAAUUUUGUUACUACAAACAAUUGCAAAAAUAUGCACUUGCCUCUCCGUUAAUGGAGAGGAUCAUCAUUCCUUUAUAUCACGCCUCCAAGAUGUCCACAAACAAAAGCAAAUGCAAGCAUGCACAUUUACUACUUUUGACAAAUUUACAUACCCUUGCAUCCAUUUCAAAACGGUCUAAUAGGUUGCCCGUUUGGAUAAAUAAAUAAUAAAAGGGUAAAAAAAAAUCAUAAAACUAGAUAAAAACAAAAGUGAACAAAGAAAAUUAUUUAAUUUAUUUCAUUACUUUGAUAACACGGUAUUUUAUAAUUUAUUUUAUACGCUAUAAUUAAUUGUACGAUUGUUUUUAAUAUAGUUUGUUUGAUUUUAAUAUAAAUUAAAUUUACUCAAGAAGAUAUUAUUUUAGUUGGUAAGUAUUAUUACAUGUUAUUCAAUCACUAAUUAUUAUUAAGCAAUGUUUUGUUUUAAAAUGUAAGAAUAAUUACCAAUUUUGAUCUCUUAUCUUUUUUAACCUUACAAACUUAGUUCCUAAUAAUUUUAAAUUAUAAAUUUAGUUAUUACUAAUUCCAACGUAUAAUCACAUUAGUUCUCGUCCACAUUUGUCAGUUAAACGGUUUGAUUGAUAUGUAACGUUAACUGUUGACAUAGCCAAUUCAUGUUAACUAGUGUAAUACAUUACUGGAUGACAUGUAAUUGUUUCUAACAAUUUAGUUUUAAGUUAAUUAUUUUUUUUAAAACUAAACCCAGAUUUGGUUUCUUCUCCACCCAAAUUUUCUUCUUCCUAGGUUUGAUUUUCUUCUAUCAAUUCCCACAAAACUCACACCCAAUUUUCCUUAUCUCAAUUAUUUUUUCGUCACACAAGAGAGAGAAAAGAGCAACCUAAAUGGGGAACAAAUAAGACAUAAUAGCCUAAGAGAGAGUUCUGUUUAAAUUUCUAUUGCAACUGAAUUUCUCUCCUUUUUUUCUUCUUCUUGUUACUUUUUAGAUUAAAAUAUGGAACUUAGUUUUAUUAUGUGAGAGCGGGAAUCAGAAAUCUUGGUUGAUUGCUAGUGCUCACCCUCUCAAGACGGGUGGAAAAAUUGGAGGGCCAAAGAAGAAAGUCAAAACAAUGUCAUUUAUGGUUUAAUUUAAAACAAUAAAUAAAUCCGACAUCAUUUUGAAAAAUGAUUUUUGUUUGAAAAAAUUAAUGUUAUUCAGUGACGUGUCAUGGAUUGGCCAUGUCAAUAGUUAAUAGUAUAUAUAGGACAAAUUAUUAACAUUAACGGAUAAAUAUAGACAGAAUGAUUAACAUGGUUCUACGCUGAAAUCAUUUAUCACUAAAUUAGUAAUUUAAAAUUAUUAUGGAUUAAGUUAAUAAUGUUAAAAAACAUGAGGGAUCAAAAUUAAUAAUUUCUAAGUGAUAAUUAAGCAAUAUUGUUGAAGUAAUAUAUCAAGUGCAUACCUUUUAUUUAGUAAGGAAUUCUUGUCAAUUUUCUUCCAUAAAUUUUAAAAUGAAACUAUAUAACAUAUACAUAUAUUUUUGAAUUAAUAUAAUAUAAUAAUUAAUAUAUAAAUAAAAAUAUAACAUACUAUAAGUAAUUUAUAGAAAAAAGAGUGGAUAACAAAAUGAAUGUAGCAAGUGAUAUAAAAAUCUUUAAAAUGAAUGGCUUUAAGGCUUUAAUUAAGAUUUGGGGAUAGUGGAACAAAAAUCUUCUAUAUCCACUUUUAUAUAACCUCAUUUUCUUUUCACAAACAAUCACCUCAGAAAAUGUAUAUUCAGGAAUUAUUCUCGCAACCUAUCCUCCACGUGUUCCUCCAAGUGUUAGAAAGUUGAUAGGAUACGUAAGAAUGAAAUAGAAAGGAAUCGUAGAAAGAGUUUAUCUUCAUAUUCCGGUACAAUAAUAUUUCAUUAAAUAAUAUAAAAUAUUAAUUCAUAUUAUAAUUUUCCCCAAUUAAAUAAGACAUUUUGAUUAGUUUGCAACAACGCAGGAAGAACAAUAUGCAUGAUGAUCACCUUUUUUAAUAAUGUCUUAUUUUCUGUCAUAAUUCAAUCAUAUAUUAAUAUGGGAUAAAUAAAAAAUUUAAAAGCAAAAAAUAAUAAAAUAGAACAUUCUGAUUGUAAAUUUAUAUCGGGAAUGGUACAUAUUCAUCCGAUUUAAAUACCCAAAGCUUCUCUUUAUCAUCAUAGUUGGUCAUUGGCAACAAUGGUGUCAAUAGUUCUAUUCCUUCUAUGUCUUACACUUCCUCUACUUAUAUUGUUAUUCUUCCACAAACACAGAUCCAAUAAGAACCCACCUCCUCCACCAGGUCCUAAAGGAUUUCCAAUUAUUGGAAACCUUCUUCAGCUGAAUGACCCUUCCAACCUUCAUCUUCAACUAUGGAAACUCUCAAAAAUAUAUGGUCCCUUCUUUUCUCUUCAACUAGGUUUAAGACCAGCUAUUGUUGUUUCCUCACCUAAACUAGCCAAAGAGAUAAUGAAAACCCAUGACCUUGUUUUUUGUGGAAGACCUUCUUUUCUUGGCCAGAAGAAAUUGUCAUAUAAUAGAAUAGAGGUUAUUUUUUCACCAUACAAUGAUUGUUGGAGAGAGAUAAGAAAAAUUUGUAUCGUCCAUAUCUUUAACUCCAAGCGUGUCUCAUGUUUCUCUUCUAUAAGACAUUAUGAGGUGAAGCAAAUGAUAAAGAAGAUAUCUAGGCAUGUUUCAAAUUCAACAGUCACAAACUUGAGUGAGUUAUUGAUUUCUCUCUCAAGCACUAUAAUAUGCAGGAUUGCUUUUGGUAGAAGUUAUGAAGAUGAAGAAACAGAAAAGAGUAAGUUCCAUGGGAUGUUCAAUGAAGUUCAAGAAAUGUUCGCAGUUUUCUUUGUUUCAGAUUAUAUUCCAUUCAUGGGUUGGAUUGAUAAACUUACGGGAAUGCAUGCACGCCUCAAUCGAAUUUUCAAAGAGAUGGAUAAGUUCUACCAAGAAGUAAUUGAUGAACGCCUAAAGAAGGAGAAUGAUGAUGAGGUUAUUGUUGAUGUCUUACUUCAACUAAAGAAGGAGCGUUCUUUUUCAAUUGAUCUCACUUAUGAUCACAUUAAAGCAAUCCUCAUGGUAUGGUCUCUUAAAACAUUCCUCAUUUAUCAUUUAAUAUGUAUAAGAAAAUGUUUAUUCUUCUUAUCUAUUAAGCAAGCACUGAUAUUUUAUUAAUCUUCACCUAUCCAUAUCGGAUAUGUAUCUAAUAUCAAUACUCACAUCCAUAUCCGUAUUUCACAGCUCCUAAUGUUUACAAAAUUUUACAUGUCAUUUAACUUUUAAUUUUGACUAUAGGUAACAUGAUUUAGCCUUUUUUUGGUUGGACAUGAAUUCUCUGUCCCAGAAUUUUCAAUCCUCAUGUUCUUAUGCAAUCAAACUUCAUAAAAUAAUAUUAAAUUAUUAAUUUCUGUUUUUAUUAAUUUUAUUUUUCAUUGAAUGAAACUUUUUAAUUGACUUGGGACACAAAAUAAGACAUGAAUGAUAACAUUUAAUCCCCAUUCUUUAUUGCUACCCUAUUUUAUUGACCUUAAACCAUGUUUAGUGUUAGUCAUAGGAUGAUUGGUCCGAAAUAAAAUGACUUAGCCUUCUUUGAUUUUCUCUUUCACUCAAAUAAUUAUAUAGAUGUCAAUGGAGUUAUUAAAAAACUACAGACAUCAUUCAUUUUAAAACUUUAGAUAGGUAACUAGAAGUGGAGCAAUAUCUAUAUUUCAGAUUCCUGUAAUGUCUGACAUAUGAAACCAACAAAGAUAUAUAUUGGUAUGCACAAGGAUACUUUAUAUAAAUGGACACACAAAUACUUGAUUUUACUUGUAUUUUUAAUGACAAAAGUAUUAUUCUAUCAUAUAUAUAAAAGGAUAAAAAUGUCUUUAACAUAUUAUAUUUUCCGUUGUUUUUUAUAGUACUUGUCUCUCCAUGAAGGGAAAGAAUUGGUAUGAGUAUAUUUGGCAUAUUUCAAAUAUCUUGGCAGGACAUUCUUGUAGCAGCAACAGACACCACUGCAGCCACAUCAGUGUGGGCUAUGACAGCACUAAUAAAAAACCCAAGAGUGAUGAAGAAAGUUCAAGAAGAAAUUAGGAAAUUAGGAGACAAGAAAGAUUUUAUAGGUGAAGAUGAUAUUACAAAACUUCCUUAUUUGAAGGCAGUGAUAAAAGAGACAUUGAGAUUGCACCUACCAGCACCACUACUUGUGCCAAGAGAAGCAAAUGAAGAUUGCAUUAUAGAUGGAUACCAAAUUAAAGCCAAGACAAUAGUGUAUGUGAAUGCUUGGGCUAUUCAGAGAGAUCCUGGAGUUUGGAAAGACCCUGAAGAAUUUUAUCCCGAAAGAUUCUUAGAAAGUUCUAUAGAUUUUAAGGGACAAGAUUUCGAACUAAUUCCUUUCGGAUCAGGUCGCAGAAUUUGCCCAGGUUUAUCCAUGGCAAUUCCCACAUUGGAACUUAUUAUUGCUAAUCUUCUUUAUUCCUUUGAUUGGGAAUUGCCACAAGGUGAAGAUAUUGAUACUGAAGUGUUGCCUGGAAUUACCCAACACAAGAAGAAUCAUCUUUGUCUUUUUGCCAAAAAUCAUUUCUGAAUGUCAGAAUAAUCAAAAAUGGAGAAUUGAAGUAUUAAGAAAACAAAAGAUAAUUCUAUUUCAUGUAUGGAGCUUUCACCACUACCACAUUACCAUUACUAUUCCCUGCCACUACUAAUAAAAUUAUAAUUAGUAUUUCAAUUUAAGUUUAUUAUAGUUUAUUUAGAUUGAUCUGGUUUGAAAUGAUAUGUUCAUCAAGUAAUGAUUUAUCAUCUUGUACACUACAUUUUGUCAUAUUCUUCUUAAGGUUUUAUUUAGCUUGUUGAAUGAAGAAAAUCAAUGGGUUAAGUUGUUGAAAGAUUAGCAAUGACAUUACAUUUUAUCUUAUCCUUCUCAAGGUUUUAUUUGGCUUGUUGGAUGAGAAAAUCAAAUAAGAUCUCUUGCUUAAAUAUAAAAAAUGACAUACAUUUGACUGAACCCUUGUAGAGGUUUUUUUGGCUCAUUGGAUGAAGGAAUCCAAUGAGUUCUGAAAGAUCAUAAAUUACAUGAAAUUUGACUAGAUCAAUUCUUCUUAGUAUUUUAUUUAUUUCGUUGGAUAAAGAAUUUUGAUGACAUUUGUUUUUAUUGAUGACAAUAUUGUCUAUGAUACUUUCCCUCAAUUAUAAUUUGUAUUGACCUCUGCAUUACUGGAGAGGAGUUAGACUUGGAAUAUAGAACCUAUGAUUUUCACGACUGAAUGAGCUUUGAGUAUGAUUGUAUUCGAAGAUAUGAAAAAAAUGAGUUCUUUCAAACACUCAAUUACACCAUUUCCUUUAUACAUGUAGGCUUCGAUUUGAAGUUGGCACAGACAAAUGGAAAAGGAGGCUGGAAUUGUGUUUAAGCUUUUCUAAAUUAUUCCUUUUAAUAAAAACUUUUUCCUAAGCAAUGAUACAUUGAAGUUUUUUUUUUCUGACCAUCAUUUUGUGUGUAUGAUUCCAUCUCUUUUGUCUACAAAUAGGUUAGAGCAUAAGGUUUGCAUUCACAAUAUCCAUAACGAAUUUAGUUAACACCAAACACUUAUCAAUAAAUGUAUGCCAAUACAAUUUGAACAUAAACAUUGUUUAAUUUCUAAUAAGCAUGAAAUAAUGCAACUGUAUAAACAAGGUAAAAAUAUUUGUGACAUAACAAUAUAUAAUAAUAGCUAUGUAAAUUAAUUCGCAUGUAAAAUAUCACUGAAUUAAACUUUGCAUGUGCAGUAUCUAUGGAUUCUAAGGUCGUUGAUUUGUAUUUAUACAAAUCAAGUGUUUAUGUAAAGAUUUCAAACUUAUGUGAAGUAGCUUUUUCAUCUUUAUAUUGCAUUUGUACAACCAAAAUAGGAAAAGGAAUCGUAUUGAUUAAUUAAGUUGGCACAAACACCAAAAGCAUGUGCCAAAGAAGACAUAUAUGAUAUCAAUCAUUGAAAUUGAUAUUUGGACCUAUAUAGCCAUAACUAUCAUUUUUCUCAAUUUAGAAAAACCAACCCCCUCCGUCUUAGAAUCAACUUUUAUUUAAAGGGAAAAUGAUGUAAACGUAUUGGAACAUAAGCUUCAAUGCAUUAGCAAUUGAAAAAAAGUGGAAAAUAGAAAAUGAUAAAAUGUUUCAAGUCCUACAAUAUGAUGAAGUAGUCAAACCCAAUAUGUUGAUUUUAUUCUAUGUAUGUUGUAUUUUGUAAAUAGAAUAAAGCAAGAUAGUAAGGCUAAUACAUGGCAUUUUAAUUUUACAAAAAAGGUGGAACUAAAGUGAACAAAACAUUGAUUUUUAUACCAAAAAAUUUAUUCAUUUGACCACCGCUCUAACCCUUACAAAAAUAUAGUAGUUUUAUUUAUCUUUUUAGAAGAGGGGAUGAAGUGGAGAUGAGUUAUGAGUAAGGGUGAUAGGACCCAAAUGGAGCACACUAUUAGGCCUAAACGAGUUACAGCUAAACAUAUCUGACAUAAAGAUUACAAAUUCUAGUAAAUAAUUAUGGUUAAAAACAUGUCAAAUAUAUAGGAUAUCACCAAUUGUAUGGUGAAGAUUCAAUAUACUUUAGAUAUUUUCAUCCAUAUUCUCUAUUUGAAGGAUAUAUUGAGUCCUAGAAUGGGCAAUCAAUGAGUGAAUUCUCUUCAACAUAAUUUCGUAAUCCUCUUACAAUUAAUUUAGCCUUAGAUUCUUCUAAAUAUUUGUGAGCCUAACAUUUGGUGCUUUCAUUUCUUCUUCAAUGCCUCCCAAAGCCUCUCAAAAGGAUUCUGAUGAUUCCCUUUCCCAGCUUCUUAUAGACAAACUCAAAAAAAACCAAGAACAAUAGGAUGCUAGACAUGUUGCCAUCACCACUGUCCUCCAUAACAUCAUAGAUAAGCUUAUUGGUAUUCACAUUCUGCCCUCUAUUUCCCGAGAUCCUCACAUAUCACCCAUUCACCCCUCUUCUUCCCAUGUCACUCAUUCUACCACACACCCUUAUGUUUCUUCUACUCAACCACAACCCCCACCAACAUCCCUUCCCAACACAUCCAUGCCAACAUUCCAAACCCCACCCUCACACUCCCUACCGCCACUUUCCACCUUCCCGCAACUACCGUUUUCCCCAUCCCAACCACACCCAUCCAAAUUACAACUCAUUUUGUUUGAUGGAUCUGAGCCCCUUGAUUGAAGUUUUCAAGUUGAACAGAUUUUCAGCUUUAUAUGGUACCACGAGAUCAACGCCUUGGCAUGAUUUUAUUCUAUAUGCACAAAGAGGCCCUUAGCUAGUUCAAAUGUAUGUUCCAUAAUUGUUAGUUGACAAAUUGACAUUCUUUCACUAUGGACAUGCAGACUCGUUUUGGUCCAUCUUCCUUCACUAAUAACCAGGCAUAGCUUUUUAAACUCAAACAACAUAGUACAAUUGCUGAUUACCAACAACAGUUCAAGAAACUAUAUAAUCGAAUUUGGAGGCUCUAUCUAGAAGUCAUCCUCAACUGUUUUAUCUCUAGUUUGUUACCAGAAAUCCGGCAGGAGUUGGCUAUUUAAGGCCCAAAUCCAUUUCUGAAGCAUUGUGCUUAGCUAAAUUAGUGGAUGCUAAGGUAAAAGGCUUUAACCGUGUCCAGGCCAAAACCUCAUGUUUUGGUCCCUAAAAUCAUUAACCCGUAUUUCCCAAAACUACAACUCCAAAUUUCCCUAGCCCAUAACCUCCCAUUCAUAUCCCUUCUAUACCAAUACGUCGCUUAUUCACUGCACAACUACAUGAACGAUGAACCUAGGGACUUUGUUGCAACUAUGAUGAGAAAUUUAUUCAUGGUCACUACUGCCAACCAAAGAAGUUUUUAUUUAUGCUGGAUGAUGAAAAUACAUAUUCAGACACUCUCUUACAUUCCCUUGAAGCUAUUUCUGAGUAUGUUUCUGACCCCAUUAUGGACCUGCAUUUAGAUGAACUCAUUCAUUUUCACAUAUAUGACCAAGCAUUGGACGGUCAUUUCUCACAAAUGAUACUCAAGUUUUAUGGCUCCAUUUAUGGACAUCCUGUGAUUGUUCUUGUUGACAUAGGCAGUUCCCACAACAUAUUGCAACCAGGCAUUGCAACUCACUUGAAACUACCAAUGACACCGACCUCCCAAUUUCCAGUAAUGGUGGGGAAUGGAGCCCAUAUCUAUUGCAGCAGGUUUUGUGAUCAUACACCCAUUACCCUCCAAAAUCAGGAGUAUUUGGUCCCUUUUUACUUAUUUCCUAUUAAAAGGGCAGAUGUUGUCCUAGGUAUUGAAUGGAUUCGAACCCUAAGACCGGUCACAUCCAAAUUUUCACUUCCAUCAAUCAAGUUCACAAUUGGCCAGACUCUAAUCACUCUCACUAUGGAAUUUGGUUCCACACCUCAACCCACCACCCUGCAUCAAUUUAACCGACUACUCCAUACAAAUAGUAUCUAUACCUUUCAUUCAAUUACUAUAUUACCAUCUCACCUAAUAGAACCCUCACACCACAAGUCGAACCCUCAUAACCCUCACCCACAAAUCCAAACAAUUCUACAAACCCACGACUCAGUUUUUCGCACCCCCACUAAUCUACCACCACCAAGAUCCCAUGACCAUUUUACUACCCUCUUGCCUAACUUUGCCCUAGUGAAUAGCAAGCCUUAUCUUUACCCACAUUCCAAGAAAGAAGUUAUGAGUUCUAUGUUGAAUCAGAUGUUGCACACUAGUAUUAUGAUACCUAGUACCAACCCAUUUUAUUCGCAAGUACUCUUGGUGCGAAAAAAAGAUGGAACAUGGAGGUUUUGUAUGGAUUAUCGGGCUUUAAAUUCAAUUACUGUUCAGGACUGGUUUCCGAUACCGACAAUUGACGAGCUCCUGGAUGAGCUCGAAGGUGCUAUGAUUUUUCCAAGAUUGAUUUGCGAUCUGGCUACCAUCAGAUCAUGUGAAUCCAGUGGAUACUCACAAGACAUCAUUUCACACUUUUGAUGGGCAUUAUGAAUUCUUGGUCAUGCCCUUUAGACUUACCAAUGCACCUUCCACUUUUCAGGCGGCCAUGAAAGAUUUUCUUAGGUCUCAUUUACAAUGGUUUGUUAUGGCAUUCUUUGAUAAUAUUAUGGUUUAUAUUGACAAUUUAAAUGAUCAUUUGUUGCAUCUCUUUACUAUUUUGGCCCUAUUAUAGUUUAAUAAAUUGCAUGCAAAGUUUUCUAAAUGCACUUUGGGGUAGAUUUAGUUGAUUAUUUGGGGCAUAUAGUUUCAUCGGAUGGCGUGAAGCCAGAUCCUGAUAAGAUCAAGGCAAAGGUAGAUUGGCCACCGUCUCAAUCACUUACAACAUUAUGUGAUUUUCUAGGACUUACCAGAUUUUAUCGUAAGUUCGUUAAGCACUGCGCCCCUCUCUCCCUUCUGCUCACUAAUUUAUUAAAACUUCAUAAUUUUACAUGGACAUCGGAGGCUCAACUGACCUUUACAAUAUUAAAGAAUGCAAUGACUAAGACAUCAGUACUAAGACUACCAGAUUUCUUAAAGGAUUUUGAUGUUGAGACAAACGCUUCCUCUGUAGAAAUCAAGGUAGUGCUCUCUUAGGAAGGCAAUCAUCUCGCCUUCUUCAACUGAAAGAUGUCCAACCACUUUCAACAUGUUUCUGGCUAUGUCUAGGAGAUGUAUGUUGUAACAAAGGCAUUAAAAAAUGGCAUCAAUACUUGAUAGGUUGUUCAUUCAAAAUAUUAACUUAUCAACAAAACUUUAAACAUUUGAUGACACAUGGCUUACAAACACUAGAACAACAAAAUUGGGCUACCAAUUUGAUUGGGUUUUAAUUUGAGAUUAAAUAUAGAACCGGUACCUCGAAUAGAAUGGUCGAUACCUUGUCUCAUCUUCACUCUGAAGAGCACCCAAUCUAUGCUUCAUUGUCUUCACCAGUUCAAGCCAUAUUGGACCAGCUGCUUGCAUUUUACCUCACACCAGAAGGUAAGAGUUUCAUAAAAAACAGAAACAAAUCUUAACAUGAAAAAUAAUUUCACUUCUCAAAUGGCUUAGUAUUCUAUGAUCACCGGAUAUACAUACCAUAUCUAGGACAACUUCAGAAGUCUUUGAAUUCCAUGACUCACCCACAUCUGACCAUUAUGGACCUAAGCCCACAUUAGCUUGUUUGGAAGCCUCCUAUUAUUGACCUGAUAUCUACAAACAGCCAAAACAAUACAUAUGUUAGUGUUCAGUUUUCUAGUAUAACAAAUAUCUUCUGACUAAAACUAGUGGUUUACUACAACCACUUCGUAUCCCAAAAAAGUAUGGACAUACAUAUCUAUGGAUUUUAUCAUAAACUUACCCAUGUCCCAUGGUCAUUCUGUCAUCUGGGUAGUGGUGGACUGUCUUUCUAAGUAUGCCCACUUCAUGGGGUUCCCCGCUCUAUUGUCUAGGACCGUGAUAAAUUGUUCCUUAGUUCCUUUUGGAAGGAUAUUUUUUGCAUCCAGGGAAUAACCCUAUGUUUUAGUACCGCAUAUCACCCAUAGUCCAAUGGAUAGUCUGAGGUGGUCAAUAGGAGUUUACAAACAUACUUAAGAUGCUUUGCUAACGCUCAACCACACAAAUGGUAGCUUAAAGCCAAACAGAGUAUGAUAGCUCAAUCACAAUCAAGGAGGGCAUAUAUUACAUUUGAGAUUAAUGAUUGGGUCCUUUCGAAGUUUUAGCCAUAUCGACAAGUUACUAUGACACGAUGACAUCUCAUAAGCUGGGACCUUUAUUUUGUCCUUGUCGUGUGGUGCGUCGUAUAUGACUAGUGGCAUACGAUCUUGCACUACCACCAUCAGCUAGGGUUCACACGAUCUUCCACGUCUCGCUUUUCUGGAGAUUCUUUGGUGACCUUGUCAGCCAUUAUGUUCCCUUACCAUCGAGCUAGAAGGAAGACAUAUCAGGAGAAGAAGAGAACCCACACAACAACGAACCAUCUUUUUUUAGAAGGGGAGAGAUUUUGGAACAUGAGAUAGACAUGCAGAGAUUUUCUACCCCGGAUAAUCCGGGUGUUCUUCAACCCGCCUCGGGUAAGGGGGCGGUCCAAACCCACCGAAAGUGCCAUAAAUGCUUCUGACACCCCAUUAAUGUCUCUAGCACCCUAUUAUGUCUUUGGCACCUCAUUAAUGACUUUGGCACCCCAUUAAUGUCUCUAACUCCAUCAUCAAUGCGCCGCACGCCCUAAGUACUGACCAACAUUCCACCUGCUAUGCAACCUGCACACCCACCUGCCCCCGACAACUCGGUAAAUGAUAACCUGCAAGUAGAACAGAGACAAUCCAGCAUAUCCUGUUGUAUCCAGUAGAGGAGACUUUAAAAUGUCCAUGUUUUAUCGUAAACAUUACUGAAGCUGAAUAUAUAACAGCAUGUAGUUGUUGUGCCCAAGUGUUGUGGCCUAAGCAACAAUUACGAUAUUAUAGCUUAGACUUAAGUUGCACUCCUCUAAAAUGUGACAAUGUUAAUGCUAUAAACCUCACAAGGAAACUAGUUAUGCAUUCUAGAACCAAAAACAUAGAUAUAAGACAUCACUUCUUUAGGGAUCAUAUCCAAAAGAAAGAUGUAACUGUGGAAUUCGUUGAUACUCAUAACCAACUAGCAGAUAUUUUCACUAAACCCUUGGCUAAAAAACCUUUUUUAUAAAAUUAGACAUUAUUGAUGAAGCUUACCUAUUUUAACAUGAUUAUAUGAUUAUAUAUAUGCUUCAUUAUGUUUAUCUCAUGCCUACUUGUACUUAAAAGUGCUUAUUUAUGUUUAAAACUUUCAAAUUUUGGGUUAAAAAUCAUUUUAUAGCAUCAGUAUGCUUAACAUAAAAAAUUUUGGGUCAGUAACCGAUUACUCUAAAGAGUGACUGAUUAUAAGGUUAAACAGGGUGUUUUAGUAACUGAUUACGCAAAUACUGUAAUCGAUUACUCAAAAUUGUUGUUUGAAAAUUUUAAAUUUUCUAAUUUGAGUAACCCAUUACUCAAAGCGAGUAAGAGAUUACUCUAUGCAAUUAUAUAUGUGAUUUUUCUGCAUUUUUCAAUUUUUUCAAACUCAUCUUCUUCCUCAACUCGGGCUUAACCCUCUCAAUCCCUAAACUCUUUAUUUUUUAUCCAUUUGGUGAUUUUUGUGUCUAUUCAUAUCAUAUUUUCAACUCUAAACACUUCUACACCAUCAUUUUCAUGGUUAAUGGCUUAAAUCAAAAAACCCCAAAUCUCCAAAAUCUAAAAACUCAAAAACCUCAAUCCAUGGUUUCCUCUUCUAGAUCAAAGAAGCAAUGCACAAAUGUGACUCAAAGGAACCAGGGAACUUCAUCUUUGGAGUCUAACCCUCUGGAUUUAACAAGAAUUCUUGCUAAUGAUGAGCAACGUAAAGUCUUUGAGGAGAACUUUCAUGGUCGAGUCAUCUUUACUCCGAAAUACGGUAAUGUGGGGAAUUUUGAGUUUGAAAAUUUUCUUUUUCCUUAUUUUUUACGGCAAAAAAAAUCUUUUUGACUUUUGCUGUGAAACUAAUGUCAUUUAUCCUAAACUUGUUCGAGUAUUUUAUUGCAACAUGGACUUUUGAAAAUAUCGUCUUACUUCCUAUGUGAAAGGAAAAGACAUUGUUCUGGAUUUGAAAACUUUUAGUCCGUUGUUCUAUAACAUACCCUAUCAAGGUAGCAUAACAGGUUUUGGCCUCAUAUGUGAAUGGGAUAACUAUGAUCGAAAGGAUUUCUAUCAUUCUCUGCGUAGAAUUUCUAAAGAGGAAAUAGAAAUGCGUAAGUAACAGAGCUUUGGUGAGACUAUUAAAAAUAGAGAUAUCUUAUCUGUUGGGCAUCUCAAACUUGAAGAUUGUUUGCUUCAUUAUUUUCUAACCUAUGUCAUUAUACCAAAAUUUUCAAACCAUUCUCAAAUUAGUGACAUAGAACUUCAAUUGAUUUAGGCUAUGAAGUUUAACAUCAAAAUCAAUUAGACUCAGAUGAUAAUGAGACAAAUGUAGAAUGUUUGAGGAACUCGAAGCCCCUUGCCCUAUGCAAUUUUCAUAACCAAUAUUCUUGAACGUUUCGGUGUUUCUACUAAUGGUGAAACCAAGGUCGCUCUAAAUCUUCGUGAAAGCAUGAUUGAUGUGGAAGUUGUCCACAAAAUGGGUUUCUCCAUAGAUCCUCAUGACCAAUGCACCUAUAAACAUCAAUCCGUGGCUUUGGUAGAUUAAUUUCAUUCAACAUAGUACGUGUUAGUUCUUCCAACGAUCUAUUCUUUCUCUCUACAACACCAUUUUGUUUUGAUGCUCUAGGAGCAUAGAAAUUGUGAGUGAUACCAUUAUCAUCAGAAAAUUCCUCAAACGAAGCAUUUUGAAAUUUACUCUCAUGAUCACUUUGAAUAGUAGAUAUUUUCAAGGAUUUUUCAUUUUGUACUCUCUUAGCAUAUUUGCUAAAUGUAUGAAAUGCCUCAUUCUUGUGUACUAAGAGUAGAGUCUAAGUGUAUCUUGAAAAGUCGUCUACUAUCACAAGAGCAUAGUAGUUACCACUAAAAGUUUUGGUCCUAGUAGGGCCAAAUAAGUCCAUGUGUAGUAACUGCAAUGGUCUAUCAGAAGAAACCAUAUGCUUUGGUUUGAAAGAUGUCUUUGUUUGUUUACCCUUUUGACAAGUACUACAUAAUUUGUCUUUAACAAACUUCAUUUUGGGUAAACCAACAACUAAAUCCUUCUUAAUUAGUUUAUUCAAAUGAUUCAGAUAAAUAUGAGCAAUCCUUCAAUGUCAAAGCCCCGCAUCAUGAUUAUUAUUAGCAACUAAACAUUUUAUUGGUAAAGAAGAAUCUAAGUCAAUCAUAAAUAUAUUAUUUAUCCUCUUACCAAUUAGUUUAGAGUUUUUAGAAUCCAUAAUUUCGAUAAUUCACUUAUUAGGAUAGAAUGCCACAUGAAAUCCUUUGUCACAUAGUUAACUUAUGCUCAACAAGUUGUGCUUGAAUCCUUCAACAUACAAUACUCCUUCUAUAUGUAACAUAGCCUUUGUCCCUUGGAGUAUUUUUCCUUCAACAUAAAUAGUCUUUGUCCCUUGGAGUAAGGACAUAGAACUUAUCUUUGUUGUAUGUCAUGUGAUUUGAUCAACCAUUGUCCAAGUACCAUAGAUUGUAGACGGCUCUCAAAUUAUCCUGCAAAAUAGGUUAAGUAGUAUUAGGUAUCCAAUUUUCCUUUGGUCCUACAUGGUUAGCACCUUUCUCAACCCAUCUAUAGUGGCCUAAAGGCACACCAUAUUUUACAAUCAUGCAAGUAUUUGGUAUAUGCCCAUGGUUCUUACACUAAGUACAUAUGGGAUGAUGCUUAUGUAUCCUAGUUUUGUUGUUACUACAAUUAAAUGCAUGAUACUUUGUUUCUGAAAGUUUGUUUUCGUUGAGACAUUUUAUUUCUUAGAAACUUGGUUGUUAGAAUAGCCAAGACCUCUUUGGUCUGUAGAAUGUCUAUGAUCUUUAAUCAUUUUGUCUAAAUUUUUGCUACUCUUUUUUAAUUUAUUAAAUUCAAGACUUAAUGUUGAAAAUUUCUUUUCAAGAGGACUGCAAUUUUGACGUGAAGAAGAUGAUAGUUUAUUUCUGAAUACUUCUAACUCAAUUUUUUGUUUUAAAAACAAUUUAGUGAGUUUGACAUAUUCAUCAUGUGAGUCAUUAAUUGCAAGUUGUAAUUCAGAAGAAGAAAAUAGUUUAGUUUCAUUUACCUUUUCAUCAUCACAGUGGUGAGAUGCCAUUAGUGAGAGAUGAGUUUGUUCUUCAUUUUCUGGUUCAGAGGUAGAACUGAUAUCAUUGUCUUUCUAAGCUAUGUAGGCUCUUCGUCCAGUCCCCAUUUCAUUUUCCCUUUGAAGGAAUUAUAUUUCAGGUUUUGACAUUCCAUCUUCAUGUGACUAGGCUUACCAUAUUCAAAACAUGUGAAGUUUUGGUUUGAUGUGGAGGCAUCAUUAAUCUUGGUGAAUUUCUUCAUUUGUCUAGUUUUAGCGCCUUUGUUCCUUUUAAGGAACUUGGUGAACUUCUUUACCAAAAGACUUAUGUCUUCCAUCUCUUCCUUUUCCGAUUCAUCUCCUGAUAAAUCAUAUCUAUUUGCCUUUGCUUUGAGAGAGAUAUUUUUCUUCUCCUUUUCUUGCUCUUCAUGUUGGUCAAGUUGGAUGAGUUUUAAUUCGUGUUCCUACAAUUUACCAAAUAAAGCAGUCAAGGACAUUUGAUAAACUUUUCUUUUCAGAAAUGGCUAUUACAUUUGGUUUCCAUGUUCUGGUGAGUGAUCUCAGAACUUUUAAGUUCAAGUCACUAUUUGACAUUAUUUUUCCAAGUGCAAUAAGAUGAUUUGUAAGGUAAGUAAAUCUCUUUUGGAGAUCUAGUAUUUUCUCUCUGUGUUUCAUACGGAACAUUUCGUAUUCCUGGGAGAGAGUAUUGAGUCUCGAACUUUUGACUUCCUCAGUUUCUUCGUGUGUAGUCUCUAGAGUAUCCCACAUUUCUUUAGCAGAUUUUCAGUUUGAUACUCUAAAGAAUUCAUCAAUGCCAAGUAUUGAAGUGAGGAUAUUCUUUGCUUUGAGAUUGUAUUGCACCUACUUUUUGUCUUCAUCAUUCCAUGAGGAUUUUGACUUUACUUCCCUUACACCAUUAACAAUGGUGAAAGGUUCAUAAGGUCCUUCCUCAAUCGCAUUCCAAAUAUCCAGAUCUUGAUAUUCUAUAAAGAUUAUCAUCCUUAUUUUCCAGAAGUCAUAGCAUUCUCCAACUAAAACUUGAAGGGCGAUUGAUGUUGGAACCCUCUCCUAGAAAUGAUCUUGAGGCCAUCUUAGAUACAAGAUCAGAUUUGAGAAUAAUUUACUCAAAAUAAGCUUUGGUGCCAAUUGUAAGACUGAGAUGGCAACUAAGAGGGGGGGUGAAUUAAUUGUCUUAAAUCUAUGAUAGAUUUUUCUACAAAUUUCAGAGUUAGUAGUAGCGAAAAAUUUAUGCAAAUAAAUAUCAAGUAAAUUUAAAGAGAUAAGGAAAAAGAGGGUACUCAGAGAGUUUGAUACUGGUUCACCUUCUUGUCCACUGAAGGUUACAUCUAGAACUCUUGCGGUAUAAGAGAUUUCUAAACUAGAUAUUAAGAGUAGCAAUUACAAAUUCUCACCUUGAGAUUUCCUUGUAGCUUACUCACUUUCUAAUACAUAUGUCACUCUUUGGAGAGAAAAAACCUUUCCAAGUGACUCUAUCCCCUUUCUUGUCACACCCUUGUGAUAGAAAGUAUUUCAGUAAAUUGAAUGAAGAAAACAUUAACAAUGGCAAGGAUUGCCUUUACGAGAUUUGAACACUAUGAUUUCUUGAAAUCCGGUAACUCUUUAUACACUUAGUUAUAAUGCCUAGAAGGUUUGAAAAUCUUUGAAACCACACUUAAAUCAACUUCAGAAAAUUUAAUCUGAAAGUUAAGAACAAGUUGCAGAAAGUGCAGAAAAAGUGUUUUCAGAAAAAUUCAGAUUAUGUAUGUGAGUUAUGUGUUUGAAUUAUGAGUUUCAAUACCUUUAAAUAGGCUUUCCAAUCAGCCAUAACACCUCUAUGAAAAGGUAGGAGUCGAUUGAAAUGAAACCAUUCGUUUGGGGUGAAAGCUGUUCAGUUUGAAUCUGAAAAUCUGGUGUAACAACACUCAUUAAUUGAUUACAGCAUCAACGUAAUCGAUUACCCAAAUAUUUUGUCCAAUUGAGUAAUCGAUUACCACACAAUGUAAUUGGUUACUCCCAUAUACUGUAACCGUGUAAUCGGUUACUCAAAAUGAGUAAUCAAUUACCCUAUUCUGUUUUUGUUAGGUAACUUGUUUCUCACUCAUUUAACAUGUUACUUAGUUCUCGUAACCUGUUGCUUAGUCACAUUAACCUGUUACUUAGAUCCGGUAACCUGUUACAUAGUACUUUGAAAAUUGUUUUCAUUUUUACUUGUAGUUUUUCAAUUUUCUUUUAAAAAUAUUUUUGAGCAUUGCUACUAAUUGUAUAUUAUAGAGUAUAAGCAUAGAUGUACCUAUAGACUUAGAGUCUAAAUUCCUUGAAGCUUUAUCUUCAUUGUCUUCAUAAGUAUUCUUUCUUUUUUCUUUAUGUGAUGUUGAUGUCUUCAUCAAAACCGUGUUAAAGUCAGGAGCAAGAUCUUCUUCCCAAAUAACCCUACACACUCUACUCUUUUGAUCUUCAAUGUAAUGCCUAAACUCAUUAAUGAGUAGACCAAGUCAUCCUCAAACUAUCGAAACAAAAAAUUAUGUUAUUAUCAAAAUAGAAAGUUAUUAUUUUUACCAAAAGCAUUAGUAAUGAAUGAAACAAGUAGUAUAUUAUUAUCUAAAGUGAUGAAUGAGGGAAUAGAAAUGAAAAUACAUAAAGGAGAGGGAGGGUGAGAGGAGAGUUAUAGGACAAAGAAGCAUAUAAAUAAAUAUAAAUAUAUUAUUCAAUUAUUAAAUAUAAAUACAUGUACGAAUUUGGCCUAGGCGAGAAAAAAUAUAUGAAACUCGGAAGCCCCAUUGCGGAGUUUCUUAUAAAUUCCACUCUCAUUGACGAUUUCUUAAAAAUUACACUAGUUUGAUAAUUAAUUUAAAAGGUGCAGCAAAACUGUAAUAUUUUAGUGAAGGUGCACCUGUGAUGUAGAUUUGUCGUGAAUAUCUAUACUAUCUUUAUAUUUUUGGGAAUUUUUCACUUGACUCCCUGAUCGUUUUUUUCAUGGUUUCUCUCCCCCUUACUAUUGGUCCUUUUCCCUACAGAUAGGAAGAAAAAGUGGAAUUCAGAAAUUCACAUCAAGCAUAGGAUUCUAGAAAGCAAAGAUUUAUAAACAAGAAUGCAUGUCGAGUAUUGUGGGAACUUGGAAAUUCAAAUGAGGCUCGGGGUCCUAGAAAGUUAUAAUUAAAUGCACAUCAGGCUCGGGUCCUGGAAAGCAAAGAUUAUUAAACAAGAACGUAGUGUUGAGAAUAAUAUUAUUACAAAUAAUUUCUUUCAAAAUACAAUUAAUCAAAUAAUUAUAUGGGUUCCAUAAAAAUUGCUUAAAGGUCUUAUGAACUGCAAAAUCUGCAUAUAUAAUCAACAUAUGAAUAAUUAUCGAUGUGAAAGGAAGUCACAACUAAUAUAAUUCACCACUAUAACAAAAGAGGCACCACCAGAAUGAUCAUCGGUGGGAACAAAAACUAUUGGUAUAAUCACCAUCGGACAUCAGAAUGAUCGUCGAUGGGAAUAGAAGUCAUUACUAAUAUAAUUCUUUAAUUGGAGAAAAAAUGCAUCACCGGAAUGUACAUCGGUGGGAACAAAACACAAUGGUAUAAUCACCAUUAUCAGAAUGAUUAUCAAUGAGAAAAAAUCACUACUAACAUGAUUUGUCAAUGUGAGAAAAUGCAUCACCUAAAUGAUCGUCAGUGGGAAGAGAACUCAGAGGUAUAAUUACCAUCGAAAUAAUCGUCGACAAAAAAGAAAUCACCACUAACAUAAUUCGUGAGUGGGAGAAAAAAGGACCCACCAAAUGAUCAUUGGUGGGAAGACAACUCAGUGGUAUAAUCACCAUUGUAAUGAUCUUUGAUAGGAAAAUAAGGUAGUGCUCAUAUAAUUUAUCACUUAGAAAUAAGAUAUCAACAAAAUAAUCAUCAAUCGGAGGAGAAACCAAUAAAUAUAAAAUGAAGAAAAUGUAUUUUUGUAUUGGAGCAUGUUGCUAUUUAUUUAUUUGGUGUCUUUUACUUUAAAUUUGGAAUUAUUAUAUUGAAGAAAAAAAUGAAUAAAUAAUAACGAGAAAGUGAUGGAACAAAGGAAUAUGAUAAAUUGAAGUUCCAAAGUUCCGACAUCUCGUCAAUGAGAUAGUGACUGGACAAAUCACAGAGGAUAAAAAUGCUCUAAUACUAUAUAGGAAUUUAGAAUUUGUGAAGAUUGGUCAAACUCAAAUAUAAGUGGUCCAAGUAAAUUAUUAUACAGGCAGAAGUUAUUGCAAACCACAAGAUGAUAAACUCAAAACAAUAACUAAUAGGAUAAACAUAAACUAAAAAUAAAUUCAAAUAAAGUAAGACUAACUAAAUCUUAAAUAAAAUAAUUCUCUAUUAAUCCAAAUAUAUCUAAAAUAACUGAAUACUCUUCAAUCAAUCAUUACUUCAUUUAGAGAAAUUAUAAUGAAGAUAUUAGCUUCAGUAAAGGAAGAUCAAAUAGGAAGACGAGGCAUAUAAUUAAAUAGUUAUCAUGAUUCUUCUUACAAUAAUAUAAAUAAAAUCAAGAUUGACAAAGGAAGCUAAAUAUAUAUUCUUGCUGCUAAGCACAGCCGAUGUACAUUAAAAACACUUAAAAUAACAAAGGGUGUUUUUUGUUUUGUUUUUUAUAAUCACUACUCGUUACAGUCUAUAAGUUUCUAUAGUCAAGUGCUGUGAAAACUAAACAUUUCACCCUAGAAUCAGAACCCUUGUCUCCAUUCAUGUUUUUACUUUUCAAUAUUCUAAACUUCACGUCUAAGCAAUUUUGCAUGCUAUUAAAGUAGGGUUGAUACAUUGUUGCUUAGUUGUGAUGUGGAGGAUGUGUCUUCGGUGGUGCAUAGUCCAAGUUAAAUUGAGGAUGCUCCUCAAGAGGUUUCUUGUGUUGCACAUGCAUAGAAACUGUGACAAGAGAUUCAGUUUUUAAAGCAACUGAAGCUUCUACCGUAGAUUUCACCACCUUCUGGCUUGUGUUUCCAUGAUCUUUUGGUUUCUCAGAAUAAUCAACCAACUGAGUCUCUAUCUUGCUAUUACUUUCAUUAAGCUGCUUUGGAUAGGAAUCAAAUACACUUUUCUCACCACUCUGCAUAAAAUGAAAGCUUUAUGAGACACAUACAUAACAUAAAUGGGUGUGUGCAGUCAUAAUAUAAAUUAUAUCUACCGUCUAAAAAACAUUUACAAUGGAUAAUCCCUUUUAUUUAGGUAUGACUCUUGAACAUGAUUUAAUAUAGAGUCUUAUGAUAUCAUUCGAUCCAUGUAACCUACCUCCUCAUUUAGGGGAAUGAAAGUCUAGUUGUUGUUAUAUAACUCUAAAUAUAAUGAAUAACUAGGGAUAUGAAUAUAUUUAAACAAGUUUUGAUAAUUGUAGUUGGACAAACCUUGAGAGAGAAGUGGUAUUUCAUUUCUAGCUUCUUAUCUACAGUGCUGAGAGGCCUAGCAUCACAUGCAUGCAAUGAAAUGCAAAGAAAAAACAGAAGAAGGGAUAUGAUAUUUGACAUGAUAAUAGAAAGAAAGUUGAAACUUUAGUGAAGGUAGAAAAAGUAUUUGUAGUAAGAAGGAAAGAAAUGUGCAUUUAAUGCAAUGACUUAAAGAAGAGUAAGAUGUUCUGUUCCAGAACAUGGAGUUGUAAGGAGUGAAAGAAGUAAUGAGGGAAAUUGAGGAUAUGGUAGCCUCCUCUCUUUUGUCCCUAGCUUCCUUCUGACAUUUCAAGCUGUUGGGUCCCAACUGAGAAGAAAAUAGAAGCAAUAACACUAAUCCUUCUCUCACUAUAUAUAAAAUGAUUUAUGAAUAGAAAUCAGAAAAAUUAAUAUGAUUAUUGAAUCUUAUUGAACAAGAACAAUAACAAACAUAUAAGCCCCAGAUUUAUUAUACUUCCAAUUUUUGUAUAAGAAUUGCUCUUAUUUGAGUGAGCUCCUAUAUAUGGAACGAUUCAUGUGAGAACAGUUAAACAGUCAAGCAAUAUUAAAAGAUUAUACAUAUCAUUUUUAAAUGAUCAUAGGACAAAUAAUUAACUUUUAAUCAUAUUCAUCUGUGAUUGAUGGUAAUGUUCAGUUUUAUUAUUCUCACUUAGACCGCUUCAUCUAUACAUAUAUAGUGAGGAUUUACUUACUCUUCAUCUUAGCCAUCAAUUUUAUAAACAUCUAAUCGUUUAGAUCUAUUCACUAAUUUAAACCAUUAAAUUUCCUUUGAAUUGAUUGUUAGGAUGAAGAGUAAGUAUAAAAAACUUACUUUUGAAGUAAGUGGAUCCCUCCCCGUAUAUAUUCAUAUAAAAAAGUACUCUACAAAAUAGAUAUAUUUUAACCAUGGUAUUCCUCCCCAACAGUCAAAAGAUUAUCAACUUCCAAAAGUGAAAAUUGUGGUAGUCCAACAAAAUAUUUUAUUUACACAAUAGAAAUCAUGAAAAACUAGUUUAGAUCCUUGUUGGUUAUAGAGAUUUUACUUCUGUAAAAUGUCAUUAAACAUAUCAUAGCGGAUACGUAAAGUGAAACAUGAACCAAAAAUCAAGAGUGUCCUUGCCCCCCGAAUUGGUUUGUUCAAGGAACUUUUCAUUCACUGUCUUUUUCUUCAGGAUUCUUGAUCAAUAUUUUAAUGGCUUGUGCCCCUUGUUUCUUGCUUUUUUGCCUUUCUUUUUUUCCUCCUUUGGACUAUACGAUAUUAUACUUGUAUAAAGUAGUAACACUUUUUAGAUCAUUAGUCAUUUAAACACUUGAACAAUUUCACAUUGGCUUCUUAAAACAUUUGUUGCCGAUCAUAAGAAAGAAGAACUAUGAUCAAAGUCAACAUUAUACUCUUCUAUGUACUUUUAGUAUAAAGUUUUAUAUACAGUUUAUAUAUUUUUUAUCAUUUAUUUAUAUUAUUUUUAUGCAUUGUCAAUAUAAUGAUAAAUAAUAUAGUGACAAUGUAUUACUUUUAUGCAUUCAUUUUUUCUCUAGUACAAAAAGGUUGUGAACAUAUAAUUGUUAGCAAGAACUAGAAAUACAGUAUACUUUGGUUUAGCUUGAGAAUGAUAACUAAUUAAGAUGGGGGAUCAGCUAUAAUUUGUGUCACCCUAUCAUAUAAUAUACAAUAUAUUAGUAAACUUAACUUCCUUUUUCUUUGAUUUUGGUAUAAAUAAUUUUUGUUAAGAUUGGAUUAUAACUGUUUAGCUUUUAGGCACUGAAUCUUGUGAGCUAGACCUUUCAGGUGAUGUUAACUUUGGACAUUAUUUGGGAUGAUGACAAUAGGAGGAAUGAUAUGAAACUAAAUGGCAAAACUAAAUAAUAAGGUUCUUGAGAGUUGCUUUAAGGAAGUGAGUGGAUUAACAAUGGAGUGCUAGAAAUCUCUAGCUUGUAAUAUAUAAUAUGUUUGUGCGUUGAUUUUUAAGAGCUCUCUCAAGCUUUUUCAUAUUUCCUAAAGUUCUCUUUUCAUUAUUUCCCCUCAAAAACCAACUCAUAAGAGAAUGAAGGAAAAUAAUCAUGAGAUAAAUUUAUUUUAUGGCUCCACAUUUUUCUUUUCUUCCAUUAUCUUCUAAAAACUAACUUUCAAAUCAGUUAUUCUCUAACUUUUUUUCCUGAUUAAUUUUGGGUUAAGGAAUGAAUAAUAAGAAUUCAUGACUAUUUUCCUUUCAUUCAUUACAUCAAGACUUUCUCUAUUUCAUCAUUUUUUAAACUGUUUUUAUAGAUCAUUUUUUAUUUUUUAAACAUAUCCUUAGUGAGGAUGGUUGUUUCUAGCCUUCAGCUAUUUAAUUUAAUUCUUUUUACUUUAUAGUGGUAAAAGGUGUCGAAUAGAAAAUAUGAAUUUGGUUAUAAAAAAUUGGCAAGAAAACAAAAGAAAAAGUUGGCAUAUUAUAUUAUAAAAAUAAGAGGUUUUUCAAAAUAAAUACUAGUUAUUCACUUUAUAUAAUUUGUUUUUUUAUUAUGUUACACGAUGGAUUGAAUAUGCUAGCUAUUGAGGGUGAAAUAUUUGGCUUAUAUAAAUAUAAAAUUUUGAUAAAUGAUUUUGUUCAUAAAGUACUAAAAGAAUAAAAUAAUAUAAAAAACUAUUUAAUAAUAGUAGACAACAUCCAAGUUAGAUGUUACCUAACAACAGGAAUUUUCUAUUUUAUUGUCUAAGACAAUAUUAAUUAUUUGUUUAUCAAUUAUACUUUUAUCCUCAUUAUUUUGCAUAGUAAAAAAUAAAAGUGUGGUUAAGUGAAUAAAAGAAUUGAGAAAGAUAUAAUAGAAAAGAUAAUAAUAAUCUUAUUGAAAACAAAAAAUUUAUUGAGUUUCUUGGUUUGCAUAAAAAUAAAUUAAGACCGGAGUAAUAAAGACAUUAACCACUGUUUUUUAUACUACUAAUAGUAUCUUCUUAUAAGAAACUAAUUUUUUUGAAAAUGUGUGAUUGUCCCUCCCAAAAAUCGAACUAUUAUUUUUUGAUUAUCCUAAAUAUAUACUUGUGUAAGAUCAAAAUGUUGAUGGUACAUUAAUAACUGUUUAUCACUUAAGCAUAUCCAUAAAUUAUUUAUUUGUAUAGGAUCCUGGAUCCCCAAUUCCCCAUUUAUUUAAAGUUGUUGGGAGAUAAAUUUUGGUAAGUGCGAAACUUGGGUAAAUUAAAUAUAAACCCUGAGGAAAUUAAGUAUUGAAAGUUUUGAUAAACAAGACAGAUUUCAUGAAUCCAGGAAAGAAUGUUUGAUGACAAUAACAAUAUAUUUUCUUUUGCCAAUAAAAUCGGUCUUCCUUCAGCAACUGCAGCAGCUUUCGACCUUACCAUUUUCGAUAGUUACGUUCCUUCACAAACACUCUAAAUGCCACGAAUCUAAAAUAGACGUACAGCUGAAUAUUAAAGAAGAAUGUUUAACUAAUGCAAUAUCUUUUCCAUUCAUUAUUCAUUAAACUUCUCUAACAAUAUUAAGUAAAAUUUUAAAAUCAAAUUAGAUUGAGGCCCUUGAUCGUACCCCUGAAGGUGAAGGAUAAAAUAAGACUCUUAAUAAUUUUUUUGUAUAAUAUUUAUGCAUUAUCAAUCCAAAUAUUUAUAUAUGGUUAUCAAAUUAUUUAUUAUUCAUUUGGAUUAUUUUUUCUAAACAUCAUUGGUUAUUUGAAAUAUAAUUUGAUUAUUUUAAGGAUUGAUUUAGUUGUUCAAUCAUACUUGAAUUGAAUAAGAUGGGAAGGAUAUGACUUAAAUUCAUAAUCCGGCCAAUCUAAUUAUGAACCAAUCAAUCUGAUUCAGUUUUCGAAAAAAUAAAUUGUUAAAGUUUGUGAUAAGAAAUCAAAGUUAUUUCUUUGUUUGUAAUAAAAAGUUUAGUAGAGAUUUACGGAUAACUUAAUAAUCAAGGUUCAUUGCAAAAACUACACUCAAACCUCUUUGCCCACUAUUUCAUCAUAUGGAUGAAUGAGUUAAAUUUUUUAUACAAUUAAGUAUAUUUUCUGGUCUCAUCCUAUAGGUAAGUAAUAAUAAAUUCAUUUAUAAUGUAUACUUAUAUCUUGAUGAUUUGACUUUAUACCUAAUAUUGCUGCUUGAAGAUCCGGACCAAAUUGUUAUUCAUAAAACUUCCCUCAACCUUAAAUGGUAGCUAGGUGAAUAAUCAUUUUAUUUCAAAUGCAUAAUGUAUUAAACUUUAUCUGACCCCUUCCUUUCAUUGUGGAGAAAAUGUAGUAGCAUAUAAAUAAACUUAUACAAAUUAAAAAAUUAAUAUUUAUACAUCUUCCGUAAAUUAUAUGAUCAACUUCUCAUUCACCACUCAUAAAUUUUAUUUUAUUUUACAAUUAAUAAUAAUUAACACAUGAAAUCAAUUACAUUUUACACUGUUAUAAAAACUUUUACAUUUUUAGUAUAUGUUCUUUAGUGUUCAUCGGUGGAAGUACCUGAAAAGGUUCUCCAACACUCAAGUCAGUAUGAGUUUAAGGAAGAUUGGUGGAGAAUAAAUGAGAAUAGAUAGGAGUAAAUGCUAGAAAUGAAUGAGAGAGUUAAUAUGCUUAUGAGUGUGAGUGGAGUAUUUAUGAUAUAGGAGAAUAUGAAUACUUCAUAUAAGGGGAGACCCGUUAUUUAUAGUAAAUGUUAUGGCGACAUGACAUCUAUCUAGUGGUUGAUGGCGACUUGGCAUGUAUCUAGUGGUCGGGUGGGUCACAUCCUCGUCGGAUGAGAUGUCUGAUUUGACUGGGAUAUAAUAGUUGCCCCUAGUCUGUUCGCAUGCUCGGCAAUCGAUCGUGUUGGCAUACUCUCUUUGUCUUUGGGUGACCUUGGGUGUCAUAGGGUAUGGUUGAUUUGAAGAAAAAUAAUCAUCGGAAGGGAAGUAUUACGUUGCCCAGUCAUAUUAACUUGUUUCCCUACAAGUAGUCGGUUGGCUGGGAUGAUGACCUGGCCUCCAACCAUGCAACCAGAUAGACCAGCCCAUCCGGGAAAAAUUAGGUGGUCGGAAGGUUGAUGUGGCACUUGCCUUUCGGGUGACGUGGCAGAGUAUGUCAAAGGUAUGUUGAUGAGAUUCGAAUUGUGUUGGUGAUUUGGUGAUAGAUGGCAUGUGUGGGAGUUAUUGCUAUGUUUUACUGGUGGUUGACACGCGGAGGCCAGAGCCACCAUUUGUAUGAGGAAUCCGAACGUCAAAGGUCAUGAGUCAUGAUGACUUGUUUCUCCUUUGCCACCUAUCUGAGUUUUAUGAUUCCUAGGGUUGGGCCUUACAAGGGUCCCCAGUCCCACUCCCCUUAUAAAUAUGGGGUUCCUCCUUCAUUUUCGCUUCACUUUGUUUUCUCGGAAUUUUUGAAGUUCCUUGCAAUUUGCUGCUACCAGGCUACCUUCUUUGUUGAAUCCUAAUCUUGGAUCCUUUCAGUCUUACUUACUCGGUAAUUCUCUCUUUCUCCCCUUUUUCCUACUACUUUUAAUAUUAUACUUGUAUGGAUCCUCGUUCCGAGCAUGACUCAUUUCUCUUUUGUCGUUACUAGGUAACUUGAGGAGGGGAAGGGUCGAAUGAAUUCACACACUUUGGACUAAGCAACUUUUCUCGAGAAGUGGUGGUCGAUCCUAGAUGGGAUAUUCAGAUCAAAUUCUGACAAUUUCUCUCGUGAUAGGUUGACAAUGGUGAGAAAUUUCACCGACCGAGCCGAUCUGUUUACAAUCCCGGAGGCAUUGAUCUGUCCGGAUUCAGAAUAUUGGUGGGUGGACCGUGUGGUGUUGGAAUCCUCGGUUCCUACACGGGCACGACCAAGACAAACGUGGAUGUCUUAGUCAAACCGGCCAACGACAUUUGUUGGUAUGCCCUAGGAGCUUAUGAUAGAGUAUGCCAAGACCUCUUGGCUGAGACGGGGAAUAGAUGGAGCUUCUACAUGUAUGAGUACAUUACUCGUAGGAUCGGGGUGAAGAUACCCCUUGACGAAUAGUAUGUUGUCGUCCUGAUGCAUCUCCACAUAGCGCCAUCUCAACUACAUCUGAAUGCUUAGGAGUAUAUCCAAGCUUUCAAGAUCUUCUACGACGUGAUGAAGUUGCCUUGCACCAUCAGUCUAUUCUUUUGGAUGGUCCGGGUAGCGCACAACACUAACAAGGACGAGAACCAGUAUAGUCGUCGGGAGUGGACGUAACUCCAAUCAGGGAACAAAAACACCCUCUUUCAUCCAUUUUAGGGAUCGGUAAAAAAAAUUGGAAGGUCGGUUUUUACCAAGUAGAGGCCCGAGGGAGCUGUCACACAUGGGCCUAUGGGCCAGAUGGGAAAAUCUCAUUUCCUUUCUCUAGGACGGUGGGAUCCAUCAUAAGCUAGCUCCCAAGUUUAGUUAUGCUAUUGAAGACUUGGAUGUCUAGGAGGCAUCUGCUGCCAAGGAGAUGUUGGACUAGGUGGAGACCAAUAGGACCUUAGAAUGUUAUGCCAUGGAAAAGGGGAUUUUGUUUUUGAGGGGUUGGUCGGUAAGUUUCUUGUCCAGGAUACCGAGUUUAACUUAGUUUUGUAUUUUUAUAAUGUGUGCUUGACCUGCUUUUGUCGAUUUCUACAGCAGCUAAGAUGGGUGAAGGAUUUGACUGGAGCAAGUUGUUGAAGUGUUUGGUGCUUCCAAGCGGGCACGGACAAGCUCGUCGACUCUUUCCACUGGACACCAUGGGGAAGGAACCGCCUCCCGUCGAGAACUAGAGAUCGUUCUUCAUUCCGAGCUUUGUUCGGGGUAGAGAGUUCAAAUUGACAAACUAAGUCGUCGACCUGACGUGGCGGUCAACCCCGUCGAUGCUUAUUUAGUUGGGUUCUUAGUUGUGUCCAUGGAUGAGGAGGAAGCUACCUCAGCUCGCUCUGGAGGAAUCGGAUGCCAACCUGAUGAAUCCAGACAUGAGGGUGAUGAUGGACAACGUGCAUUUGCCCAAGUUGCUGAAGCGAUUAAGGUUGACCAGGAUUAUGGUUGCCUCGGUUUCCAGGUACUUUGAGACCGAGGGCGUGAUGGAUGCCCAGAUGGGGGAUGAGACCCUCUCCAAUAUUUAGGAGCAGCAUUCAGCGGAGCUCCAAGAGUUGAAAGAGCAAUAUGUGGAAGCCAUGAAGUCCCUGGAAUGUUAGACUUUGACUGCUGGGGACGAGCUUUCGAAGAUGAAUUCUCAAUUGAAAGAUGUCCGGGAGGCUGCCCAUGUUGCCCUUGAAAACAUGAGCAUGGUUGAGCAAGAAUUGACCGUCUAGACUGAGUGGCUUAAGUGGUCUAAGACCGAGAAGCUACAACUUGCUGAGUUGGUGAAAUUAUCGAUGGUGCGGGAGGAGUCUCCUUAGGCAGAGAUUGACUGUGUGGGUUGAGAGGUUACUCGCCUUCUAGAGGAGCGGAAGUAGUUGGAGGUUGGAGCUAACGAUGUUGCUCAUGCUGGGUGGGACAAUACUUGGGCUCAGGUCGGCUAUUGUAUCCAGACUAGGAUUAGUCUUGGACACCCUUGAAUGCUCGAGUGACCAGUGAUGGGGAGCUGGUUGUUGAGGAGGAUGAGAUCCUAGUAAAUCUAUUGGUGUCGGGCAAAGAUGGGGAGGGGGCUUGAAGGGCCUUUUGCUUGUUAUUUUUUUUUAUCUUGUUGUAAUUACAUUUCAAUGUAAUAGAAGUAGGAACUGUAUUUGCCAUAUUGGCUUUUUGAAUUAAUGAAAAUGUCCAUACUUCCUUAUAUCUUUGUUUGUAUCGAAUAGACAUUUUUUUCUCUUUUAAUAUUUGCAAGUGAUUGAUAAUCAGGUCAUACUUCGGAAGUGUUUUGAUAAGGUAAAUAAGGACUCUCAAGCUAACCCAGAUUUGGCGAUUAACGUUAAUUGGGUGCCUAUCACUUGUUUGACCUAAGGCGCUUGUUGUCUCAUAUUGCGAAAUAAUUGAAUCCUUAUUUAAGAAACCAAGUAAAAUUUGUCUAGAUUUAGGUGUAGAAAGCGAAUAUAGUAGCUAAAUGCACAAUCGUGAGAUGAAGUAACUAAAGACCGCCAUCUAGAGUAAGCCAAGGCUUGUGGGGGUCGUUGGUUGGGCAUGCCUAGGGGGAGUGGUCCACUCCUGGAUGUUUAUGUAAUAGGCCAUCGUCAAAGUAGGAUGAGGUUUAUGCCUUUGAGGGGCUUUUAUGGAUACCGCCAGGGGGAACUAGGUCCUCGUCCUGGGGUGUUUUAUAUGUUAGGCUGCUGUCAAAGUAGAACGAGGUCCACGCCUUUGAGGGGCUUCUAUGGAUAUCAGCCAAGGGGAACUAGGUCUUUGCCGUGGGGUGUUUAUGUGUUAGGCUGCCGUCAAAGUAGGAUGAGGUCCACACCUUUGAGGGGCUUUUCUAGACACCAACCAGGGUGAACUAGGUCCUUGUCCUGGGGUGUUUAUGUGUUAGGUUGCCGUCAAAAUAGCACGAGGUCUAUGCCUUUGAGGGGCUUUUAUAGAUAAAAGCUAUGGGGAAUUGGGUCCUCAUCUUGGAGUUUUUAUGUGUUAAGUUGUCGUUAGAGUAGGAUGACAUCCACGCCUUUAGGGGCUUUCUAGAUAUCGGCCAGGGGGAACAAGGUCCAUGCCCUAGGGUGUUUAUGUGUUAGGUCAUCAUCAAAGUAGGAUGAGGUCCACACCUUUCUAGGGCUUUUCUGGAUACCGGCCAAGGGGAACUACGUCCUCGUCCUAGAGUGUUUAUGUGUUAGGCUUCCGUCAAAGUAAGACGAAGUCCACGCCUUUGAGGGACUUUUCUGGAUAUUGGCCAAGGGGAAUUGGUCCUCAUCCUAGGGUGUUUAUGUGGUAGGCCGAAAGUGGUGAAUUCUUUUGUUAUUCAAAAAGGAGAUUAUGAAUAAUAUAUCAUCAAUAUAUAUGAGUUUGUGUUUACAUAGGAUUCCCUGGCCGAUUUUAGGGUCGACAUUACAUUUCAUUGUGCUAUGAAUAAAAAACUCGAAAAUGUGCAUAAUUCCAUGAUCGGGGUAUUUCCUUUUCGUUCAUUUCUGUCAGUUUGUAUGCUCCUCUCUCAAUUUUAUCUAAUAUUUAGUAUGGACCUCUCGAGUUUGGUUCUAGCUUUCCUUUGGCCUUUCCGAUGUCGGCUCUCAGAAGAACCAAAUUGUCAGGUGUGAACUCCCUCUAGACCAUAGAGAAAUUGUAUUUAUCAGCGGUUGGUCUUUUGACAAUCGCUUCUCUUAUUCAGGCAUGGCCUCGUUUUUAUUCAAUCCAGUAUAAGUUGUGUCGUAAAAGAGUGGAGUUGGCGGCUUCAUCAAAGUGCAAUUUCCACCAAGUGGGUUCCACGAUUACUAUCGGGAUCAUUGCCUCAACACCAUAUGUGAGAUUGAAUGGUGAUUCUCCAGUAGUAGAGUGAGGGGUUGUUCUUUAGGCCCAAAGAACAUGGUGUAGUUGAUCGGGCCAAGCGCCCUUGGUCUCAUCUAACCUUUUCUUGAUCCCUUUUAGAAUGACUUUGUUGACCGCCUCAACCUGCCUAUUUGUCUGUGCAUGCUCCACUAAGGUGAAAUGUUGCUUGAUAUGUAACCUGAAUAAUAAUUCUCCAGACUUUUGAUCCGAGAAUUGGGUACCAUUAUCAGUUAUGAUGGCAGUCGGGAUCUCGAAUCGAGUGAUGAUAUUGCGCCAUGUGAACUUUUGGAUGUUAGUCGAGGUGAUGGUUGACAAUGCCUCAACUUCUAUCCAUUUGGCGAAAUAGUCCACCGCAAUGGUUAAGAACUUAAGUUGCCCGACUGUUGUCGGGAAGGGUCCCAGAAUAUCCAUGUCUCGUCUACAGAAUGGCCAAGGGGUCAUGGUAGUAGUCAACUCUUUAGGCGGACCAUUGUGAAAGUCAGCGAACAACUGACAUGGUGAGCACCUUUUGGUUAACUAAGGCGUUCUUCUUGGUGGUAGGCUAAUAAUAACCUUCCCGCAAUACCUUUUUUCCAGAGAGGCCACCCAAAUGGUGGCGGCAACUUUCUUCAUGGACCUAUUAGAGCACAUAUUGCGCCCUAUCGAGGCCGAUGCAUUUGAGUAAUGCAACAUAAAAACCCCCAACGAUAUAAUAAGCCAUGCAUUAACAUGUACCAGGAGCUAUGUUAGAGGAAUCUUUGCUUUUCUUUUUGGUCAGCUCAGAGAUCACCAUUUAACAAAUACCAGAUAAUAGGGUCAGCCCAAUCGUCUGGGAUGGCUACUUUUUCAAUGGUCAUGAUGAUGGAUUUCAAAUCGGUCCAUUGGAUUACCGACCUGUUGCUCCUUGGGCUUUUGGUGUUGGUUAGUUUGGAGAGUAUGUUUGCUCAGACAUUAUGUUCCCUUGGGACAUGCUGGAUGGAGGCUUCAUCAAACUUAACCAUUAGUUCUUUGACCUUAGCCAAGUAUUUACACAACAAUGUGUCCUUCAUUUGGUAAGCACCAGUUAUCUGUGAAACGACCAACUAGGAAUUGCUACAAAUAGCUACCUUUUCUGCGCCGGCAUCUCUAGGCAAUUGCAAACUAGUUAUGAAUGCUUCAUACUCAGCUUGAUUGUUUGAAGUGAUGAAGGUGAAUGUCAAUGAGUGUUCAAUAGUCAUGUUGUGACCAUUAUCUAGCAAGAUUCCAGCUCCACUACCUUUGGGAUUGAAUGACUCGUCCAUAUAGAUUGUCCAUGUUUGCCCUGAAUUAUCCGACUGGGUGGUAAGCUUGGCAAAAAAAUCUGAAAGGACUUGACUUUUGAUGGUUGUUCUAGGCUUGUACCAGAUGUCAAAUUGUGAAAGCUCAAUGGACCAAGAGAUCAUCCGUCCAGCCAACUCUGGUUUGUGCAGGAUAUCUCGUAUGGGGUGAUUGGUUUUUACUACCAUAGGGUGAGAUUGAAAGUAUUGUCGUGACCAUCUUUUUGCCACCAAGAGGGUGUAAGCUACAUUCUCUAAUUAUUUUAUAUUUGAGCUCUAGGCCUUGUAAUGUUUUUCUAGUAAAAUAGACUGGGUUUUGGCCUUCUUCGUGUUCUUGGAUUAGAGCAGUUGUCAUAGUCUAAUUAGUUACGGCGAGGUAAAUGUAUAGUGUCUCGUCGGGCUCCGGUUUUGUUAGAACCGGGGGGUAGCUAGCUAUUGCUUGAAAACUUGGAAGGCCUUUUCACAAUCAGCUGACCAUUCAAACUUUUUGCUUUCCUUGAGUAGCUGAAAAAGUGGCAAAGAAUGCCUAGCAGUUGCAGGAAGAAAUAUGGAUAGAGCUGGCAACCGCCUAUUCAAUUGUUGGACCUCCUUUAUUGAGCGAGGACUCCACAUAUCUAUGACGACCUGACAUUUUUUAGGAUUUGCUUGUAUACAUCAGCUGGUUAGCAAGAAGUCGAGUGAUUUACUGGCCUCCACCCCAAAGGUGCAUUUUUUUCGAGUUGAGCCAUAUGUUUUAUUUGUGCAGUCGUUUGAAUAUAUUAUCAAGAAUUGAGACAUGAUCCUACGCAAGAAGGCUUUUGGUGAUCAUGUCAUCCAUAUAUUUUUCAUGUGUUGUCUGAUCUGGUCUUUAAAUUCUCUAUUCAUCAUUCUUUAAUAUGUGGCCCUUGCAUUCUUCAACCUAAACAGCAUGACAGCGUAGCAGUAAGCUACCUUUGGUGUGAUGAAGGCUGUUUUAUCUUGAUCUAGUGAGUACAUGGGGAUUUGAUUGUAAUCCGAAUAAGCAUCCAUGAACGAUAGAUACUUGUAACAUGAGGAGUUUUCUACCAUAUGAUCAAUGUUUGGAAGAGGAUAUGGAUCCUUUGGACACACCUUGUUUAAGUUUGUGUAGUAGACACACAUCCUCCACUUCCCGGAUGUCUUUUUCACUAGUACCAUAUUUUCCAACCAAGUGGUGUAAGUUAUUUCUCGAAUGAAGUUGGCCUCAAGGAGUUCAGAGACCUUGUGGGUAACCUCUACUAUUCUCUUAGCACCCAUUUUUCUUCUUUUUUGCACGACCAGCUUGGCUCUGGGUGAGUGUUUAAUCAGUAGCAGAUGAUUGAAGGGUCAAUCUCUCGCAUGUCAGCAGCGGACCAAGAAAAUAGGUCCUUGUUGGCAAUUAAAGAUUCGACAGCCUGGACCUUUGAGCUUCAAAGAGGGUAUUAUCGAUGUAAAUCAAAUUUUCUUUCUUUGGGUCGAGUUGUAGGAAAGGUUUUUCUCCUUCCAGUUGUAGCCGAAAUUCCCCUUCAUCUGCUUAGGCGUCUAAUUCAACUAAGUGAACACCCUUUUUCCAUUUGGUUGGGGGCGGUCCUUUCCUUGUGGGUUGACUAGGUCGUAGACUCAGAUGGUAACAACUAUUAGCACUAUGUUGAUCCUUUUUUACUAUGCACACCCAAAAAUCGGAGGAUAGGAAUUUCAUACACAUGUGUGGUGUGGAGACCACUACUUCAACUCGAUUCAACAUUGGUCGACCAAGAAUUGUAUUCUAGGCAGACUUGCAAUCAAUGACUAAGAACUUAGCCUGAAUUGUUCAUGUUGAAGAUUUUUUGCUAAUCAUCAACCAGACAUCCACGUAUCCACGUGGGGUAAUGUCUUGACCAGUGAAGCUUACCAAGUGGCCAUUAUAUGGUAACAGGUCUCGGUCAUUCAGCUCCAUUUUUUCAAACAGAUCCUGAAACAUGAUGUCUACUGAACUUUCAGGGUCGACGAAAAGUUUUCCGACUUUCUUCUUAUUCAGUUUAGUUGUAAUGACUAGGCGAUCUUCAUGGCCUCAGACGACACCUUCAUAAUCAUGUUCGUCAAAUGAUAUAGGGGUGCAACCCUAUUUUCGCCUUGCUGGUGGGUAUUUCUGGCACUGGCUUGCAUUACUUCUCUGACAUAUAUCUUUUGGGUCGCCCUCCGGAAAUAUUAUUAAUAUCAAUCGGGCUCCUCUAUCACCGGUUUUGGAUCGAUACGUGUCUACCUGAUCCUUGUUUGGAGGAUGUUCCUGUUGAUUACGUGGAGGGGAGCGUCUUCUAGAGAGGAUGGGUCGACGUGUUGAUGGUGACCGUCCUUGUUGGGUUACCAUGGUGAUGAAAUAUUGCAAAUGGCCAACCUGCGUCAGGUCCUCAAUUGUGUCAUGGAGCUCGAUAAAGUCCUUUGUUGUGUGUCCAAAUAGACUGUGAAAGUCACAAUGCUUAGACCGAUCCUAGGGCCUCGCUUUCCUACUUGGAUUGGGCUUGGACAGUUGGACGAGAUGAAUGGCCAUGACUUCUUGCAAGAUUCUGGAACGGCUGACAUUAAGGGGAGUGGACGAGAUGGGUGCCACUAGAUUGAUCAAUGUUGUUUGGGUGGGUCAAGUGUUUAGGUAAGGGUGAGGACAUAAUUGUCUCAGUGAAGAGAUGCUUGGCCAGCGAGGAAUUAUAGUCGGAUGGAUGGUUUGUUCAUGUAGUUUUUGAAUGUAUGGGGGCUGUGAGUAUAGAUCGAGAUUCUUCAGCAGAAUCGUCAUAAUGCUCAUCGACAACUAGCCAUGAAUGCCUGUUGCUGGAUUCAGAUUUUUGUUACGGAGUUCGACUAGUAGUUGGACUUGUUGUUGGAUGAUUUGGCCUUGAGUUUGGAUCAUUUGGAGAAGUUGUUGGGUAGUGGGUGGUUAUGGGACAAGGUUGCGAGGGUGGCUUUGGGUAGCUUGUUGGGAUGGUUGUAUUUGUGCUAGAGGAUCGAUGGAUGGAGUGUGGUGAUUGGAAGGCAUGUUUAUGGUAACUGGUUCUACUUGACUGAGGGGUUGUGCUUGAUUUCAGGUGGUCACCAUGGUGUAGGUAAGCCACAGAUGGUGCCAAUGUUCUUUAGUGUUGGUCGGAUAUGGCCGGAAUGGGGGAUCCGGUUGAGUAGCUUGCUUCUAGAGACUGGCUGGGAUGAGGCUUGGACCCGUUGGUGGAGGUACCUAAAAGGGUUCUCUGAUGCUCAAGUUAGUAUGGGUUUAAGGAAGAUUGGUGGAGAAUGAAUGAGAGUAAAUGUUAGCAAUGAAUGAGAGAGUUAAUAUGUUUAUAAGUGUGAGUGAAGUAUUUAUGAUGUAGGAGAAUAUGAGAAUAUGAAUACUUCCUAUUAGGGGACACCCCUUAUUUAUAGUAAAUGCUAUAGCGACGUGACAUCUAUCUAGUGGCUAAUGGCGACUUGGCAAUAUGCAUUGUAAAGGCUUAGCAUGUCUCUCUCUGUCGCGUAGUAGGUUUGUCUCUGAUUGCGUUUGUCAGAGGGGACAGGUUGGAGUUGCAAGCGGCGUGAUAGAGCUCAAUUUGGAAGACAUUGAAUGAGGUGUCAAGAGCUAUGAUAUUUGACGUGAGGUGAUGCAAGCCUCCAAUUUGGACUUUUCUGGCUUAGGGAAAUAGACUGACUUUUUCAGGGGGCGUGACAGAACUCAAUUGUGGGAUGCAUUUAAUGAAGUGUCAGCAGCAUUUAUGAAGCUUAUACUAGGAUGACGUAAGAAUCUGGUCUAUAUCUACUUGUGCUUUGUUUGGUCAAGUGGGUCCCAUCCUAGUCAGACGAGAUGUCCCAUUUGAUCGGGAUGAAAGAGUACAUAAACUAUUUUUAUAAUUAAAACAGAAAGUACGAGAAAUGGGAAUAAAAUUAUUUAUUAGAAUAAAGGUUGUAAAUCUUAAGAAUCCAAUUUUUUGGGAUUAAGAUUAGGGGUGUAAAAAUUUGGUUCGGUUCGGUUUUUGGUACAUUUUAGUGACCGAACCGAUCAAAAACAUAUGGUUCGGUUCCGCUCAAUUAACCUCAACUUUAACUAUAAGAACCGAACCGAACCGCUCUUGAAUGGUUCGGUUCGGUUCGGUUCCAUGGUUUUUACAUUUAAUUUUUAUAAAAAAAAUAUUUCAUCAAUUGAAAAAUCAAAAUGUAUUACAAGAGAUAUUGUUUAUCAUAAAAGGAUAAACAUUACUACUAUUAUUAUAAAAAAUUAUGAAUCAUAUAUAACAAUACACUUCAUGAUUAGUAACAUAUAUAUCAAUUAGUAAAAUAUAUAAUAGUUACAUUUAUAACCUUACAUUUCAUAAUUAGUAACACAUGUAACAAUACAUGUAUAACAAUAUAUGAUAUAUGUUGGUUUCAAACUCAAUAUCACAAAAGAUGGAAAAUAUGUUCCAAAUGAUAAGACAUUAUGAAACAAUUUAGUAACUAAUAACAUAUAUAAUACUAACUUAAUAACAAUUUAGUAACAUAUGUAACACUACAAUUCACACAAAAAUUGAUAAUUUAAGCUAGAAAAUUGGUUGAAGAAUUUGAACAAUAAUAAAAUAUUAUUUUUUGAUCCCUAGUAUAUAUUUCUUUAAUACGCGGUUCGGUUCGGUUCUAACGGUUCCUAAAUUUCUAAAACCAUAAACCGAACCGAACAUAAACGGUUCCUUAAAAAAAUAACCGAACCGAACUGCGAAACCGAACCGAACCACAUUUUGCGGUUUGGUUUGGUUCGGUUACAUCGGUUUCGCGGUUUAAACCGGAACCGCUCACACUCCUAAUUAAGAUUAUAUAAAAGAUAAGUAUAACAAGAACCUUUUAUUUAUAUAUAUAUAAUUCACCGGAUAUAAAAUUGUUACAUCAUCCCCAUUACAUAUUAAACUCCUUUUUAAGCAUUUCGGUGUUUUAAAACACGGAUUGGACCAAGUGGAACGAACUUUAAGAUAGGGGACAGAAAGACAUGGGAGCAUGGUCUCACCGUUCCUCUAUCAAGGGCACAAAUGAAUGUCCCAACCGUCAAUACCGGCCAAAAAGGACAGGUGGCACUUUUCAAUCAAAAAUAGGGAAACUUUGCAGCCGCCAAAUAUCCAGUAUUGAAGGUUGGCGGUGCAUCCAUCUUCUCUUCUUGCUCAUUCCCCACUUUUGUUAGUCAAAAUUUGGACAUUUUUGUUUAAAACAUUUCUAACAGAUAUUGGCUAACUAAGAAAUUUGUAUUGGAAAAUAAUGUCUAACUAGCAUAUCAAAUAAGAAUAGAUAUUCACAUUCUUUUAUGUUAAUCAGAUAUACUCGAAAUCAAUUGUUCGGUUGAGUAAUAGAAGUUAAUAGUCUUGGUCGGAAUGCAGUUUGGACCUGCCGGAAGAGAUACCUGAAAAGGUUCUCCAACGAUCAAGUUAGUAUGUGACUUUAGAGAGAGUGAAAGUAAAUAAGAGAGACGUGAAAGCAUGGAGUAAUAAACACAAGUAGUAAAUUAGGUAAUGGGAUAGUAAUUAUAUUUCAUGUGUGAGAACCUCCUAGCUAUUUAUAGAGUUUAGAAUGGUUGACGUGACAUCUAACCAUUGGUUGUUUAUAAUUCAACACGUAUGGUAGGAGUAUGGUAAGCGUAUAUUAGGCGUAUGCUUGGCAUACAUCAAGAUGUCUUUAACCACCAUGCAGGCUUGUUACUGUCGAUCUGUUGGGGUCAGGUAGAACUUGCAGAUGGUAUGGCAAGUGGAAUGUUGACGACGCAUUAAUGACGAGUCAGAUGCGCAUUAAUGAUAAGUCAGUGUCAUUAAUGACACAUAUAGUAAGCUCAGCUUAGACUUAAUCAAUAAAUGGGGAAUGCUUAGUAUAGUUAUGUUCCGGUAUGAGCAUGGAAUAACUCGGAUUUAACCGGGGUGGAACAAGAAUAAAUAUUCAUUUUUUUAUCUCUCCCAAUUUUUUAUUUAUUAAUUUGAUAGAUGUAAAAUUAAAAAACUUAAAAUGAUUCUCAUAAAUAUUGGUCAAAUAAUUAUUUUAAAUAUUUUUAUUGCUAAUUCUUGUGACAAUUUAGUCCUUGUUAUAGACUAUUUUGUCCAAUAUAUUCCUGAUCUUUGAGUUUUUUUAUUUAUUUUUUAUUAAUCAAAUUGAUGCAUGUAAAAGUUUUUAAGAAUCAAGACCUGUAUUCACUCAUGUAAAGAUUAAAUUUGGUUUUCUAUUAUUAACUUAAUUUUUUAAAGUCAUUUAGUUAACAAAAACUAAAUGCAACUUAUAGCUUUUGAGAACUGAGUAUAAAAUGUUAUUAUAAGUAGCUUUUAAGAAGAAGUUAUCAAUAACUUAUCUAAAUUUUACCUUUUAAAUUUGUAGCAAACAAUCUUAUAUACCAUUAAAUACUUAAUUAAAUAUUUAAAUAAAAAAUAAAUGAAUAAAAAUAUAUAUUAAUAAAUAUAAGAUUACAUGUCCAUAUUUAACUACAUUUAGUUAGAUCUCCAUUUAAUUUUUUCGAACAAUUCUAAUUAAAUCACCUAGUCAAUGGUAAGCUUUUAAGUACCAUCUCAAUUCUCAAAGAUUUUAGCUACCUUCAUAUUUAUAACCUACAAGCUAGCUAAGUAUAUGUUACAAGUUAGUUUUUUUUUUAACAAACCCAAAUCUAUAUAUAAAAUCAGCAUUAGAAAUUUAGAGGAUUUUGUUAUCCUUAAUAGAUAAUUAAGUUCCAUAAAAAGAAACUGAUACUUAAUUGUUAAUUGUUAACAAAUAUUUAUUUUAAUAAAAAAGUAUUAAAUUUAUUUUUUUAUUUAUAAUCUUACCACUUUGACUUAUUAUCUUGGCCAAGGUUGAGAAAUAAUCUUAUUUAUCGCUUCAACAAUGGUUUUGUAUACGAGGGAUCUAAAUUUAAUGGUCAAUUCUUACCAUUUCCAAGGUUCAACAGUGCUGCAUGUGAGGGAUCUAACAAGUUCCAUUUGAUGUUGAAGAUGAAGAUGAGAGGAGGAAAAGCUAGAGAAUUGUUGGAAAGGAGGAAUACAUUAUUGGAAGUAUUUUAGGACAACGGUCGUAUUUAUCAGGUUUGUUACCCACGAUUUAGUCGUGCCUCCUAACAUGGGUCAUGGAUCGUCGGUUAUGUUGUCCUAAAAUACUUUUAAUAUAAAUAUUUAUGUGGAAAAUAUAGAGGUUGAUGGAAAAGGAACAUGCAACAAGAUCACAAUAUGUGGAUGAAAAUUAACAAAAAUUAUGGUGGAAGAACUAAAUUAACAAAUAGUGGAAACAUAGAGGAUUAAAUUGACUAUUAUGGUCGAGGAUUAAAUUGAGGCCUGAAAAAAUAAAGAGGAAUAUAAUGAGCCUAUGCAAGAGUGUUCCUCAACCGACAUUUUAAUUCCUUACUAGCAUCGAGAGUAUCACUAUGAAUGUGCCUUUAACAAUAUGGAUUUGUUUCACAAAAUAUGUUAUUUUAUGUAUCACUUCAUUUGAUUGUUAAAAAAUUAUAUUUAAUUUAAGUAUUUAAUAAUUAAGUGUUUUUUACCCAUCACAUCAAAUGACACUAUAAUAAUACACUUUAUAAAAUAGAAAAUGCAUUCUCACCUUGUUGAUAUCAAAAGAAUAUUUUAGUUGUUAAAGUAAAUUGGUAUGCAUAUUAUAAAUCACAAUGACCCUCCAGUUAUAAAUAUUUACUUUAUCCUCCAACACAUUUAUGCUGUGUUUGGUUGAGGAAAGAAAAUAAGAAGAGAAACAUAUGAGAGAGAUUUUAAAGAGAAAAAUGUAAGAAGAUAAGUAUAUUUUUAUAUUGUUUGGUAUGAGAUAAAUGAAGAACAAAGAGAAGAUAAUAGAUAAUGAUAUUAUAUUUUAAAAGACAAAACUAUCAUUAAAUAAUAAAGAAUAAAUAAGUGUUAUAUCUAACAUUAUUAUAUUAAUAAUGGUUAAAAUUGUUAUUUUCCACAAAUUUUACUCUAUUCCUUCACUUUCUUCUUAUCUUUAGGGAAAAUUAUUUUGACAUGUCCCACAUCUUUUUUAUCUAAUCCACCUCUUCUUUCUCCUCAUCCAAACGGGGAAAACCCAUUUUCUCUCCUACUUCUCUCCCUCCAUCUUCUUUCCUCUCUUUCUCACUCAAACCAAAGGAAGACUUAGCAGGAUUUUUGAAGACCCAUAUCGAUAUUUAAACUAAUAUAUCAUAAAUUUGUAAUUCAAUUAAACAAAUCAUUAUCAACAUGAUCUAACAUAAUAUAUAGUUGAAUCUCUUUAGCAUGACGUCACAUGUUACAUUCUUAGCAUGUGUAUACAAAAGAUUUUGUUUAGGGUAGGAAUGGCAAGGAAACAUGAUAGACACGAGUAAUGCAUACUUGAUUACCUAUACUUAUAUAUGUACUAUUCAUGAGUAGCAAGCAUUUGCGGAUAUCCAAUGGAUUUUUAUUUUUAAUUACAUCUUUAUAUAUUUUGUGAUAAUUAAUAUAUAAAAAUAAUUAUUACUUCAAUAAUAUAAUAGGUAAAUGAUAAUUUUAUAUUUAUAGUUUAAUCAAUAAAGUUUAUUAUAAAAUUAUCUUAAAGUAGAAAAAUAUAAUUUUAAAAUAAUAAUAAUAAUAAAUAUAUAUACAUAUAAUAUUUAAUUAAAAUAUAUGUUUUUAAAUAUAUAAGUACUCAUAUACCGGAUAUCAUGAUAUGUAUUCUCACUUUCAUAAUUGAAAGAUUAUAUAUUCACUUCCAUAAUCUCUAUUGGUGACGAAAAGGUGAGGGAAAACUAAACAAGUUAUAUAUAUAUAUAUAUAUAUAAAAGAUCCAAAUCAACUCACACAUUUAAUUUAAUCAAAUAGUCUUUAUGAUCUUUAGAAAAAAUUGAGAGAAUGUACGAAUAACCGCUAUAACCAUCUCAGCAAGAAUUUAUCCAUUUUGGAAUUAUUAUAGACAAAUAAGAUUUUAUUAUAUAUUCACGUUGAAGAAAGUAAGAUAAAGGAACAAAACCGACAUCAUACAUUAAUUGUGAAUCAACCACAUACUUUAUCUACAUGGAUGCAUGUUUAAUGGGCUCAACCCAACAUAUGAGGCCCAGAGUUAGAAGUCAUGACCUUCCUCCUGAAAAGAAAAAUUGUAGAUAAAAUUAAUCUAUUUUUCCCCUUAUUUUAAGGAUAUCUAUCCUAUUUCUGAUUCUCCUCCACGAAACUUUUUCCUAGAUUGAUGAAAAUCAUAUAUCCUUCAUAAUACAAUGGAAAGUCUUGGUUUGAUUUGCAUACCUUAAACCAAACAUAUUGAUAAUAACAUUUUCAAAUUAAUAGUUUCCUUAACUCUCUAGGCACAAAUAAGAAAUAAGAUGAUUUGAAAUGAAUAUGGCUUGAUAAAAAAAGCUGAGAUUUUUGUGUUAUUCACUACUAGUAUUGGCAAUUAGGGUUGCUCUACUCCCCAUGCUUAUAUCCACACAACAACCGUCUAAAUUAUGGUGGGCAUAGUCAUGCCUAUUUUUAAAUAGGAUAUGAAAUAUCAUGUUAUGUCCGCACUAAACAUGAGCGUGGUAGACUUACGUGUCGCCCUAAACAAAACAAAAAAUAUAUAUACAAAUUUAUAUACACUUCAUACAAAAUAAAUAAUAUAUAUUUUACAUAAAAUAUACAAAUAUAUUUAUCAUAAUAAGUAAUCAUACAAAUGAAACAAUACAUACAAAAUAUAAAUGUAAUAUAUAAUACAAAAUAUGCAUAGUACAUAAUUUACAUACAAAAUACAAAAAGAAUAGUACAUAUGCAUAUAUAUAAUAUACAAAAUACAAAUGCAUAUACAUAAUAAGAAAUUGAUAGUAUUUUCUCACAUUUGAACAAAUGCAUAUAUAACAAAUGCAACAAAUUUUCCCACAUUUAACAAAAUACAGAUACUUUUACAUAUUUGAUGUUCAACACAUUAUCUAAUAAUGUCCACGGGCUACCCGUUUUUCCCGUAAAAAAUGUUUGGGGGCGAAUGAGGCAUGUUGGACGGACAUUUUAGAGCGAAUGGACACAUUUUUCAUGCCCUAUCCGCCUAAUAAGUGAGGGUUGGCCCAACGCGCUUUGCCCAAAUUGCCAAUGAAGUUCACUACAUUUAAAUGAUUCUAAUUAUAAAAAAAACUCACCUCUCUUUGUUAAGAAUCAAGAGCAGAAAGAGAAUAUGAAUUUUAUUCAUUGAAAGAAUUGAAUUAAUUACAUGAUAUUGAAUUGAGUUGAGUUGAUUAGAAAAGCUACAAUGAAGAGCUUAUAUAGAAGGAAUAAAAUUAAUCAUCCUAAAAUCUAAAAACUAACAAAAGUUCAAUACAAAACUAAUCUAAAUCAAAAAUUAUAUUUCAACACUGAUAAUCAAUUAAUCAUUUUGUUAAUCGACUAUCCAUUAUAGAAUUACAAUUAUUUUAACAUUCUCGCAUAAACUGGAAUAUAUCAUACAUUUUAAACUUGAAAUGAUUGUAUUGAACACGAUAUAUACUUUGAUACCUCAUCUUGCUGGUGAGCGAAUCUUCAUCUCUUUGUCUUGAAAUCAUAAUGUGAAGCAGCUCUCACGCUUAAUGACCAUAGGCAGAAACAACUUCAUACAAAGCUUAACUAUUUAUUUUGAUAGAAGCUUAACCAAUCAAACCAACCAUAAUGGAUGAAAGAGAGAAAAUAAAUGAAUCUUAAUCUUGAUCCUAAAAUGUUGUUUUAAUGAGGAAAAAUUACACACUAUAGAAAAUUGUUGUAUGUUUAAUGAGAGGGGUAAAGUGUUAGAUAUUUUGUGAUGAUUGGUGAAAUAUCAAUCCUAGGAUCUUGAAUCUCAAGAUUCUCACACAUAAUAUAAAACAAGGAUACAAAGUCAUACAUGAAUUCAUGUUCUCAUAUAUACUCCUUUGAUAUACCUUUUGAGAGAGAAUUUUGGUAUGAUAGUCUUUCUCAACCAAAUCUUGAAUUCUUUUUUGGACCUUCGUUUUCUCUCUAACGGGGAGAGGUGCAAACUAUUUGUGAUUUGGUGUCUUGGGGACCAUAAUCGUUCCUUAUGCAUUAACUUAUAAAGUUCUCAUUAUCCACUAUAGGCCAACUGUUUGGGUAUCCACUCAUUAGGCUCAUAUCCGUUAUCUGUUUUAGAAAUAUACAUUAGACUUCCUACUGCAGAUGCAUAAGGAAUCUUUUGCAUCUUGUAUUUUUUAAGGUCAUUUUUUGGCACUGUUCGAGACAAAACCUGUCUCCCUUAGCUAUAGGGGUAUCCAUUGGUUUACUUUCUUUCAUGCAUAAUCUAUUAGGACUUUAUCUAUAUAGAUUUCUUGUGACAACCUUAGGAUAUCUUGAGAGUGAUCUCUUAGUAUAUGAAAAACUAAUACUUGAGGGAGAACCUCAUUGUUGUCUUGUUCAAGAAUUUUGUUAGGAACAAUAUUCUAAACAUUAUCUUCUAUUACCGAAGUUCUUCCUUGAAUGGUAAUAUGCACAAAAACUUGUUCACCAAUAAUGACAGGUUUUUCCUCAAAGACAACAUUAUUUAUGUUCUUUUCCUCCCAAAAGAAGUUUCUCCAAGAUCUUUCAUUUCGAAAUACUUCAUUAGAAAUCUCUUGGUCUCAUGCAAUAGUCUUAUAUCACUGCUCACAAGCAAUAUAUCAUCGACAUAUAAUACCAGAAAUAGGAAUUUACUCUCACUGAACCUGUGGUACACGCAAUCGUCAACUUUAUACGCCUCAGAACCAUAAGAGAUAAUAACUUGAUGGAACUUGUGAUUCCAUUGACAAGAAGCUUGUUUAAGACGAUAGAUGGAUUUCUUUAUUUUGCACACCAUAUACUUUGAGUCAAUUGAUACAAAGUUUUCUGGUUGCACCAUAUAGAUUGUUUCUUUAAUGUCACCAUUUAGAAGCGCGGUCUUAACAUCCAUUUGAUAUAUCUCUUAAUCAAAAUAAGCUACUAGUACCAAUAUUAUUCAAAACGAAUACUUCGAAGAUAAUGAAGAGAAUGUUUCUUUAUAAUCAAUGCAUUUUUUCUGAGUGUAACCUUUAGCAACUAGACGAGUUUUAUAUCUGUCAAUAUUACUCUUUGAAACCCUCUUGGUUUUAUAUUUCCAUUUGCAACAAAUAGGUUUCGCACCUUUAGAUAAUUCGAUUAGAUCUCAAAUGUCAUUAUCAUGCAUAGACUUCAUCUCGUCCUUCAUGGCAUCUAUCCACUUUUGAGAGUUAGAACUUUUCAUGACUUGACAAAAGUUUAAUGGAUCAUCUUCUAUUAACCCGACGUCAUCCUCAUAUUCUUGAAAAAAUACAAUAUAAUCCUAAUGAAUUAUAUUUCUCCGCUCUCUAGUGGAUCUCCUUAAUGACACUUCUACUUCUUGAGAUUGUUGAAUUUCGUCUAUAGGUACCCGAGGGAGAACCUCAUUGUUGUCUUGUUCUAGAAUAUUGUCAGGAACAAUAUUCUGAACAUUAUCUUCUAUUACCAAAGUUAUUCCUUGAAUGGUAAUAGGUACAAGAACUUGUUCACCAUUAGUGACAGAUUCUUCCUCAAAAGCUACAUUCCUUAUGUUCUCUAUCUUCCCAAAAUCAACUUCCUCAAGAAAUCUUGCAUUUCCCGUCUUGAAAUGGUUGGUAUCUAAGCUAAGUCAAUUUAGGAUAUCGGUGUGAAUUCCGUUCUUCCCGGUUCAACUAUAUGAUCCUAACUUAUAAAUAAAAUAAUAAAAAGAAAGAAAUUAAUUUUUAUAAAAGAUACAAAAUAAAAAUACUUCGGAAUUGAUCUCAUCCCUUAAAAAUUUUAAUUUUUAAUUGUUGAGUAAUAACUUAAUUAUUCAAUAGAAUACUCUCUUUUAUAAUUAUGAAUACCCUCCCCCUUUUUUUCUUUCUUAUAUCCCUAUUCAUCGAGAUUUAAUUCAUGCCAUAAUUCAGAAACUAAUGUUUAAUUAUUUUUCGUAAUCGAAGAAGCUGGGGGGUCACUUUUUCCUUUUUUCCUAUUGUUCUUUUUUUGCAAGUAAAAUAAAGGGGACUUCAAAAAAUUAAAGGAUUAUUUCGUUCCUGAUAGUCAUUUAUUUAAUCAGUGGAUAGGAGGAUACUCUGGAUCGGAAUUGUAGGGCGUACUGUCUGAUUUUUUCUACCAACUUAAAGCCCAAAUUAAUAUUCUUUUUCGAUUAUGCGUAAAAGUUCUUUUUGAUAAUUUACGUAAUCUGCGUUACAAAUCAUUUGUGUAUCUUGGUGUUUCUAACCAUCCACUCAUUUUUUUUAUUAACCAACCCCCUUUUUUUAUCUUAAUACAUGUUUAUCAUAA
rnacentral:lncRNA from 1 species